UUUUUUUUUGUAACAGUGGAUGUUGACAUUUUUUAACCGGCAAAAAACUUUUUUAAAUGAAAAUAAUCCGGCCGAAAUAAGAAGAUGUACAUCCGCAAAAAAAAGAAAUAAGAAGAUGCUGUGAAAAGUUAAUGGAAAAAGAAAACAAUAGGAACUCGACGCGGAGCGACGCGUCCGCUUUACAGCCCUCGGAACAGAACAACGUUCGGGUCGGGACAAUUCAAAAGACCAAAUCAGACCGUUGGAGCCUCCUCCCCUGCGCCCACCUCUCCUCCCCUUAUUAAAACCUCGUCAUCCACCCGAGGAGAGAGAAUCCACCACGCCACCCACGCCACCGCCGCCGCCGCCGCCGCACCGGGUAGGUUUCGAUAUCUUGCUUUCUUGACGGUUCCUCGGCAGCGGCUCCUCGGCCUUCUCGAUCUGAUUACAACUCAUCUUCCUGUUUGCCUCCCCUCAGAUCCGCCUUUCCUUGCCUUGGUUGGCCGAUCGAUCCAUGGACCGCCGGCCGCCGCUCGCCGUCUCGCCUCGUCGGCUCCGCCCGCGGCCGAGCUACGCCGCCGCCGCCCGCCUGCCCUUGGCGUCCUCCUUCCACAUCCCCUCGCCAGGUACCACGUCGNNNNNNNNNNNNNNNNNNNNNNNNNNNNNNNNNNNNNNNNNNNNNNNNNNNNNNNNNNNNNNNNNNNNNNNNNNNNNNNNNNNNNNNNNNNNNNNNNNNNNNNNNNNNNNNNNNNNNNNNNNNNNNNNNNNNNNNNNNNNNNNNNNNNNNNNNNNNNNNNNNNNNNNNNNNNNNNNNNNNNNNNNNNNNNNNNNNNNNNNNNNNNNNNNNNNNNNNNNNNNNNNNNNNNNNNNNUUUUUUGGUUUUGCUCCGUCCUCUGGAUCUUUCUUUGGUGGAGUUCCUUCUGUUCGCGUUUCGAUCCUGUUGUUCGAUGCCUCAAGAUCCUGUUGUUUUGUUUAGUUUCAUUUACGGUCUCCAUCAGAAACCAGAUUGUUUCCUUCGCAGAUCUAUUCAAAAAUCCUCCCUGGUUCUGCAACCAGUUCUGUUUCUCUGAUGAUGAUAAAAGCACGAUUCGAUUCUUCUUUUGCACAAUCGUAGAAUAGAAUUGUUAACUUUUGAAUUCUCACAGAUUUGUUCUCGUUGUACUGUCCCGUCCGUUGCGCAGGAUUUAGCAAGAAAGCCCAGACUUCGAUGCGCUCGUCCAUCUGCGCUCUGCCGCCGCCGUCCUACCUCGAGACCAGCCCGCGCCCCAAGCCGGACUUCACUGUUGCGGCAAGAGCUGCGGGGAAGGAGAACCUCUGCUUCAACGACGACGACGAGGAGGCGGCGCCUUUCAACCUCGCCGACACGAGCACGGACGACUGGACAGCGGCGGUGGCGCCGACCAGCCCGCUGUUCGAGAGGGGCAGGCUCUACGACCUCUACUCCGCGCGGCGCAACGAGCGGCUCAAGCGCAAGCACGGCUGGUACGCCGCCGGCGAGGAGGAGGCGGGGGCCAUGGCCGAGGACCCUUGCGUGGCCGUGGAGCUGUCCAAGCGGCGGGGCGCCAAGAAGGCCGCGGCCCCCGAGUCCGCGGUGAGGAGGUCGAUGCCGGCAGCGACAGCAGAGUUCUCGCAGAGCCACAGGGCCGGCGGCGGCCUGAGCGCCAUGAGGUCCUCCCUGAGGAGCAGCAAGGAGAUGAAAAAGCCCUCCGCCGCGUCGUCCUGCGCCACUGCCGCCAAGCCCUCCGCGGCCAAGGGCAGGAGGGUCGGCGCGCAGUCGUCGGUUCGCAGGAUCUGAUGAUGAUCUGUGUGCUGCUGGAAAUGACAUGGUUCUUCUUCCUUGGUUCAUCGUUGGAUGGUUGGGUGUUGAUAAACAGUACUAGUGCUACUAGUGUGGAGUUUGGAACUGGUUUGGGGGCAAUAUAGCUGCGUAUUUGGUUACAUAAUUGAUAAUCCGAUUCGUUGUUUUCUCGUGCGCGUAUUCGGUUACAGAAUCUGAUAAUUUAGGGCCAUGAUUUAUUCUUGACGACUGAGGCAACAACACAGGCAAAAUGGUUUUUUUUUAACAUUAGUAAAGACGCAAGCGCUCAUACAUACGCGCAUACACUCACCCUUAUGAACGCACACACUCCCUUUUUCCUAUGAGCACCUUCAAAAGACUGAGGCGGCAUGUCAUCUUGAACGCAGGCAAAUUGGCUGAUUGGUUCAGUUUGUGAGGUGGUCAACUUGGAACGCCAGGAUCUUCAACCAUGUCUCGUCCUCCAUCAGUUGAUCACGUGUUCCAUAGUACUCCCUCCAUCCGAAAGUACUUGUCAAAAAAUGAUAAAAAUUGAUGUAUUUAUAACUAAAAUACAUCUAGAUUAUUUGUUCAACAAGCAUUUUCAGACAGAGGGAGUAUCAAAGAGCACAAAAACAUCGGAGGCGGUGGCUCGCGAUCGUUGGUUCAUAAGGCCUGUGAUUGCUCGGGCGGCGCGGCAUUGUGCUUUAGCUCAGGAGGCCCACACUGACCGUCCGCCGCCAUGUUUUUUUGGCUUGACUCCUUGGUUGUUGUGUUGCGUGGACUGGACCUUGCAGGCGGCCUCCCCCGGGUCCGUUGUCGGGACGAUGGAACGGGCCGGAAUGGUGGGAGCACGACGGCAAAUAAAUUUGAUCACCGUUGUUGGAUAACCAAAAAUAUCCACUUCGAAAUGAUCAAUAGAGGGCGAGCUCUAGGGAGCCUGUUUCUAAAAUCAUAUUUUCAUUGCGCAAAAUUAUUUUGAGAAAAUCCCCAAAAAUAUAUUUUUUGAAAAAUAAUUAUACAUACUAAAAUACAUGUAUAUCACGUUUGAGAAUAAGUUUCAUAACAAUAUAUUUCAUUCGUGGGGUAGACAAAAAGACAACUACAUACAUGUAAGUGCAUCUAGUGUCACCCCUAGUUGGUUUUGGAGUAUUGACGACAAAUCUGGUUGAGGGACUAAUGUGUUUUUGAGAAUUGCAGGAUAACACAGGUAGUAGUCCCUUAUUGAUUCGGUUUUCCUACCGGAGAUGACCUCUAAAAAUGUGUGAAGACAUUGAAGACAAUGGUGGUCUGUGAAGCUAUUCAUGUUGAAGACUAUGACAUGAGAAGACAUCGAGUGAAGGCUAUGGAGCGCAAAGACUUAGUUGUUUCGUUGUUUCCUUUUCUUCUUUGUUGAGUCAUAGGAACCACCGCACUGUUAAGUGGGGUCCAAGUGAAUAAAGUCAGAGUGACUGAAGUGAUGCUCAACCAAAUCCUAUGUCUUCGAGCGAAGACAAUGAGAGCAAAUCUUAUCCAGAGUCGGAUGAGUCAGCUUUACUUGUAGCCCAAGUCAAGCUGUCGCGUGUGUUUGAAAUCUGACCGAUGAGACACAUGUCAGUUCCUUAGUGACCCAGGGUCAUUUCGGACAAAUUAGGUUGGGUUGCCCAGUGGCUAUAAAUAGCCCACCCCCUACACCAUAAAUUGGUGGCUGCUCAGAGUUAGUACACAGCUUUUGUCGUUUGAGAGCAACCCACCUCCGAAGCAUUUGAGAGAGAAUCUUUGCGAGGACAAAGCCUAAACCACCCAGAGCCCAAAGAGCGUUUGGCAUCACUGAAGUCUUUCUAUCCGCUUGAUCUGAAGACUUGCUACACUUGAGGACUGUGAAUCCUCCAGCCGGUUAGGCGUCAUGUUCUAAGCAUCCAAGAGUCAUUGUGGAUUGUCGGUGAACGACUGUGAAGGUUUGAAAGUCUACCUUGAAGACUUACCAGAGUGAUUGGGCGGGGAAUAAGGUGAAGAAGCGUUCUUCUGAGUUGAAUCUCAGCCUCCCUAACCAGACGUACAGUUUCACAGCAACUGGAACUGGUCAAACAAAUCUCUGUCCUCCCGAAGCUACUGGUUCUAUCUCUCACUUCUCUUUACUUACAGUCUAUCUUCGUGAAGUUAUUGCCUGCUUGAUUUAUCUGUUUGACUUUACUGUGUGACUACUUGUCCUAAUUGGCUUCACACUAUCUUUCAUCCUGAUAUUUACUACCUAGCUGCUAAUAGUCUUCAUGCUUUCACUUCAUUGAAUACUUGACUAUGGCUUGUCUAGUGUAGUCUACCUUCCGCUGCAUUUGAAUAGUGUCAUUUGUAUUGUUUGUCUUCGAAACUCCCAUGUUUUGAAUACUUUCAUAAAAAUCGCCUAUUCACCCUCUUCUAGUCGAUAACUAGCCCUUUCAAUUCGUAUCAGAGCAAGAUACUCCCUUGUUUUGUGUGAUUCGGUUUAACCACCUGGAGUUUUAGCUAUGUCGACUACAGGGAUAGUCAAAGUCUCCGCUGCGUGCCCCAUCUUCGAUGGCACUGAAUAUCCCUACUAGAAGAAUAGAAUGCGCAUGCAUCUUGAAGCCAUUGAUGUCGAUCUAUGGUAUGUCGUCAAGAACGUCGUUCCCAAGACUGGUGAAGGUGUCACCCCAGCUGGUGUCAAGAAGUUCGUUCAACUGGACUACCGCCAAGAACAUCAUCUGUGGUCAUCUGACCAAAGGACGGUAUGGCCGUGUGAGUGCUCUGCAAACAUCAAAACUAGUCUGGGACUGGCUCUCCAAGGUCAAUGAAGGCGUCUCAACUCAGCGAGAUCAACGAAUCAAUACUAUCUGCAACCUCUUUAACCGUUCAAGAGACAUAACAAUGAGAACAUCCAGCUCACAUUUGAUCGCCUCACUGAUAUUACAAAUGAGCUCGAAGCACUCGGUGCCACUGAGAUUACGAAGCAUGAAAUAGUGAAGACACUACUGAGAUCUCUUGACAGCUCAUUUGACACCUUAGCCCUGAUGAUACAAGAAUGCCCUGACUUCAAGACUCUCGAUCCCUUUGACAUACUUGAGAGGCUCAACACACAUGAGUACCGGCUAUCUAAGAAACGAGAUAUCUAUGGCCCCAACUAUGGCCGAACUCGCGCUUUGAAGGCAAAUGUUGAUGCUUCCUCAUCUGAAGAAGAAUCUGACUGCAGUUCUGGUGAUCCUGAAGACAUUGGAAAGGAGCUUUCUAUGCUUAUGAAGAAGUUCCAGAAAUUCACCAAGAAGAAAGGCUUCAGAAAGUCUUCACGAUCCAGCUCAAGGAAUGAUGAAGCUUCUACCCAUGACCACAAGAAGAGAACCUGCCACAAGUGCAAGAAACCUGGUCACUACAUCUCUGAGUGUCCACAGUGGGACAAUGAGAAAAAGAAGAAGAAGAAGAAGAGCAAAGAAUAUGAUUUUGAUGACAACAACAAGAAGAAAUCCUCAAAGUCUUCUUCCAAGUCUUCAUCACACAAGAAGAGCUCAUCUGGCAAGGCUCGUGCUUUUGUUGGCAAGGAAAUGGAUUCAGAGGAGGAGUCUGCUUCUGAGGAGGCAGAGGUGGAGUCUGAGGAGGAGUCCGACUCUGGUGUUGCGAGUCUAGCUCUAGCUACAGCCUACGUCGCCAAGUCCAUCUUCAACACUGAAGACAAUGGCUCCGUCACCAAUGCUGAUGAUAAUGACAAGGACGACUCGGCUCCCACCUACUACUUCAUGGCAUGUGGUGCCAAGGUAAAAUCACGCGAUGCUUACUUUCAAACAUCAAGUGAAGAUGACUCUGAUGGUGAAUCCAAACCUAGCUACAAAACACUUGCUAAAAUUGCAACUAAACAACAGAAAGCUAUGGAACAUACUCAAAAACUGUUAGACAAAAGCGAUGACCUGUUGGACGCUGAAAUGACCAAGUCUCAGUCCUUAAUUAAAGACAUCAAAAAUCUUCAUGUUAAGUACCAGUAACUUGAAGGUCGACAUGAAUCGCUCUCAACUUCUCAUGAAAAGCUUUUCUAUGAUUAUCUUCAAAGGAAGCAGGAACUUGAGAAAUUGAGAUCAACUCAUGAAGAUCUUCAAAAGGAGAACGAGUCACUUCGCGCUCAACAGAUCAGUCCCGCUCAGGAAGGAUUUGAACCACCAUGUCUAAAAUGCAUUGAGCGUGACAACGCUGCCUCUGUUGUUGAAUGUUCUACUGCUACUACUGUUGCAAUAUCUUCAACUGCUGAUGUGGUAACUAACCCCUCUGCUGAGGAUACCACUACUAUUGCUGAUGAGAAUGCCAGGUUGAAGACACUGCUUAAGACAGGGAUGUACAAAAGUCUCAAAGGGCAUCAGACAUUAUGUGAUGUCCUCAAAAAGCAGAUUCUGAACCGAAACCCUAGGAAAGAGGGUGUUGGGUUCGAGAGGAAAAUGAAUGUUGAUGGGUCAUACUGGAAGCCUGAGCGGUACCCCAAAACCACAUGGGUUGCUGCAAAGGAACCUUCAGUAGAUCCAUCCACCUUAUCUGGUUUCACUUGUUCUAACCCUAUUAUCAUUGAUGAAUCCUUUGAUGCAAACUAUAAAUUGUUUAAGAAACAGAAUGGCGAAGUAUUUGCCAGGUAUAUUGGUACUAACUGCAGGAAUGGGCCACCUACGAAGAAGAUAUGGGUACCCAAAAGUUGUCUUGAGAAUCUUCCGGUGAAUGUCAUUUUGACACCACCUGAGAAGAAGACAAACCCCAUACCAAAGGAUUCAUAUGGUCCUAAAGCUUCAUACAGACUGAGGACUCAUCUGAGUCACCCUAAUGUCAAUGUUUUGUAGGGAAAUCAUACUCAGACCCAUGAAUAUGAGUGUGCUUCCUCGAACCGCUAUGUUCAUAGAACUAAGAACUUUUCUUCUUAUUCCUAUGAAUAUUAUUCACCUCAUGCAAGGCUAUUUACUAGGGCUCCAAAGCCGGAGUUCUCAGAUGCUGCACUUAGACUCAUUGCUUCUAAGCCACCCCUAAAAAUGUGGGUGGUUAAGAAAACUUAACUCUUUUUUGCAGGGAAAGGUCUCCAGCCGGAAAUCAAAGGCAUCCAAAACUAAUGCUGGGGACCUUAAACAUCUUGUGGGGCGCAAGAUAAAAUGCCCAAAUGGUCUUACUUUGUAUUCCCUUCCGGGAUUCCUUGACACUCAUCAUAUCUAUCCUAACCAAGAUCUGAAUUUCCAUGUUCCACUUGUUCGUCAAAUGUUUAUGCUUCACAACUCGCUUGGUGAAGCCUAUCCCCCAAACUGCACUGUAGGCUAUGACACCUCGUGCUUCAGAAUGGAUUAUGGAUAGUGGAUGCACUAACCACGUGACUGGCGAUCGAAGUCUUCUGAUGGAUUCAAAGCUACGUCCAUCAGACAAGAGUCACAUCACAUUUGCUGACACUGGUAAAAGCAAGAUAUUGGGUCUAGGUAGAGUUGCAAUAUCAAGGGAUCAGCACAUGGAUAAAGUGAUGCUUGUUGAAUCCCUUGGUUUCAACUUAAUGUCUGUCUCAAUGCUUUGUGACUUAAACAUGAUUGUGCUAUUUGGAAAAUAUUGAUGCCUUGUGCUAAUGGAAUCUGACAAGUCUCUAGUCUUUGAAGGGUAUCGAAAAGAUGAUCUGUAUAUGGUAGAUUUCUCAGCAGGACCAUAGAUGGCCGUAUGUCUUCUAGCAAAAGCUUCAUAGUGCUGGCUUUGGCAUCGAAGGCUAGGACAUGCUGGCAUGAGGAACUUGCACACUCUCGCGAAGAAGAAGCAUGUCGUGGGCAUCGAAGGCAUCAAGUUCAAGAAGGAUCAUUUGUGUGGUGCCUGCAAAGCUGGAAAGAUGACCAGGGCCAAGCAUCCCUCGAAGACAAUCAUGACUACAUCUCAACCCUUCGAGCUGCUACACAUGGACUUAUUUGGCCCUACUCACUACUCUACUCUCAAUGCUACUGCUUGCCUCUAUGGCUUUGUCAUUGUUGAUGAUUACUGUAGAUAUACUUGGGUGCAUAUAAUCCUCUACAAGACUGAAGUGCAGGAUGUCUUCAGACGCUUUGCGAAUCGUGCCAUGACAAACUAUGGCGUCAAGAUCAAGCACAUCAGAAGCGACAACGACACUGACUUCAAGAACACCGGCCUCGACCUUUAUCUGGAUACUUUGGGUAUUACUCAUGAGUUCUCUGCUCCUUACACACGUCAGCAGAAUGGCAUCACGGAGCGCAAGAACAUAACUCUUAUUGAGAUGGCCCGAAUGAUGCUUGAUGAGUACAAGACUCAACGGUAGUUCUGGCCUGAAGCCAUUGACACUGCAUGCCACAUCAUCAACCGUGUUUAUCUUCACAAGCUUAUGAAGAAAACAUCCUAUGAACUCCUGACUGGUAAGAAGCCAAAUGUAAGCUACUUCAGAGUAUUUGAUGCUAGGUGCUGGAUCAAGGAUCCACAUCACACUUCAAAAUUUGCACCGAAAGCACAUGAAGGUUUUAUGCUUGGUUACGGAAAGGAUUCGCACUCCUACAGAGUCUUCAACCUCUUUUACUACAAAGUGGUUGAAACUGUGGAUGUGUGGUUCGAUGAGACUAACGGCUCGCAAAGAGAGCACCUGCCAAAUGUGCUAGAUGAAGUACCUCCAAGUGAAUCAAUCAAGCAGAUGGGAAUUGGAGAGAUCAUACCAUCUAAGAAUCAGACUGAAGAAGAGCCUAUCAUUUCUGCACCUAAUCAACCUGAAGACAAUGCUCAGCCUGAAGACAAUCCCCCAAAUGAUGACAUUGAUCAGCAAGAGCAAAAUCUUUGUCCUGUUCAUCCUCGUGUUGCAAAUGAAGUUCAGAUUGAGAAGAUAAUUGACAACGUGAAUGCACCUGGUCCACUCACUCGUUCAAGAGCUACUUAAAGAGCAACACGGCUAACUUAUUUCUGUGGGCAUUUUGCAUUCGUCUCAAUCUCAGAACCAAAGAAAGUCGAUGAAGCCUUCACGGAACCUGAAUGGAUUCAAGCUAUGCAAGAAGAGCUUCAACAGUUCGAGCUGAAUAAUGUGUGGGAAUUGGUUAGGCGUCCUGAUCCUCGGAAGCACAAUAUCAUUGGCACCAAAUGGAUAUAUCGCAACAAGCAAGAUGAGCAUGGACAAGUCAUCAGAAACAAGGGUUGUCUCGUUACACAAGGUUACAGUCAAGUGGAAGGAAUUGACUUCGAUGAAACAUUUGCUCCGGUGGCAAGGCUUGAAGCCAUUCGCAUACUGCUAGCCUAUGCAAAUCAUCACAACAUCCUUCUGUAUCAAAUGGAUGUGAAGAGUGCUUUUCUCAAUGGAAAAAUAGAAGAAGAAGUAUAUGUCGCACAACCUCCUGGCUUUGAAGAUCCAAAACAUCCUGAUAUGGUAUACAAGCUCAACAAGGCACUGUAUGGCCUCAAACAAGCCCCUCGUGCUUGGUAUGACACGCUCAAGGACUUCCUGAAGAGCAAAGGCUUCAAACCUGGUUCACUAGAUCCUACACUCUUCAGGAAGACAUACGAUGGUGAACUUUUUGUGUGCCAAAUCUAUGUGGAUGAUAUUAUCUUCGGCUGCACCAACAGGAAAUACAGUGAUGAGUUUGGUCACAUGAUGCAAGAGUAAUAUCAGAUGUCCAUGAUGGGCGAGCUGAAGUUCUUCCUGGGUCUCCAAAUCAGUUAGCAACGCAACGGCAUCUUCAUAUCUCAAGAAAAAUACCUCAAAGAUUGCGUGUAGAAGUUUGGAAUGCAAGAUUGCAAAGGAUACACGAUGCUAAUGCCAACUAAAAGUCAUCUGGGUCCCGACGCCAAUGGUAAAGAGUUUGAUCAAAAGGUAUACUGCUCCAUGAUUGGUUCUUUGCUUUAUUUAUGUGUAUCUAGGCCAGAUAUAAUGCUUAAUGUUUGCAUGUGUGCCCGAUUCCAAGCGGCACCAAAGGAAUCGCAUCACUUAGCUAUGAAGCGAAUACUUCGAUAUUUGGCUUACACCCCAACACUAGGAUUAUGGUAUCCAAAGGGCUCAGAGUUUGACCUAGUUGGAUUCUCAGAUGCUGAUUAUGCUGGUGACAAGGUUAAUCACAAGUCCACAUCUGGUACAUGUCACUUUCUGGGACGAUCUCUUGUCUAUUGGUCUUCAAAGAAGCAGAACUGUGUAUCUCUAUCCAGUGAUGAAUCCGAAUACAUUGCUGCUGGAUCUUGCUGUGCUCAGCUUCUCUGGAUGAAGCAAACUCUCAAGGACUAUGGUAUCCACCUGAAGAAUGUUCCACUCUACUGCGACAAUAAGAUUGCCAACAACCCAGUUCAGCACUCGAAGACAAAGCACAUUAAAAUUCGUCAUCACUUUCUCAGAGAUCAUGUUAUGAAGGAAGAUAUUGAUAUCAUUCACGUCAACACUGAAGAGCAAUUGGCUGAUAUCUUCACAAAGCCCUUGGAUAAGAAAAGGUUUUGCAAGUUGCGUGUGAGCUAAAUAUCUUGGAAUCCUCAAAUGUCCUGUGAUUGGGCACACAUCCUAACACUUAUGCAUUUUGAUGACUUAGAUGUGCAACACACGAAGUAAUGUAUAUCUUCAAUUAAUGAAGACAUACACUCUAAGUGUGAAUACAUUAAUGCGGAAUUUGACUUCAGAGCGCCACGAUAAUUGUGCGCCGUGUCUGGGUCUAAUACUUCCUAUAUGGUGGGUAACGCCACCACCAAACUUUUGUUUGAAGUGUUUCCCUUGGCGUUACAUCUGCAAGGUCUUCGAAUUUGAUUUAUCUUCAUCCUUGACUUAUAUUCAAGUUUAUCUUCAUCUUGUUGAUUUGGUCUUAUACUAGUAUUCAUAUAUAUUUGUGUUCUGUCCUCUACAACAUUCACUUAUAGCUAUGAUUUCGUGCUGAAUCUUUCGGUCUAAGUGAAUGUGAUCGGACCCUAACCUAUCUAUGCUUCUACCUCAACUCUAUCUGUCCAAAUCAUAUGCAUUCUAUUGAAAACUGUCGAUUGUCUUCACUGAGACCUUGUCAGCUGAAGUCAAUCUGACAAACAUUUAUAUCUGUUUUUAAUGCUAUAUCCUUAUUGCCUGAAGGCCGGAGAAUUCGAAACGACCACCCCGACAAUCCAGGCGUGCGUGGGAACAUGGAACAACUUCCAAGGUGUUGCAUGCUUGCCACGUGCCCUUCAGAUGUGAACCGCUAGGGGCACCUGCGUAAUUGCGUUGUGCCGUCCCUUUCCUUAUAGACACCCAUCACAUCACGGUCAAAAAUCUUUCUUCCACCUCGCCACCUCUCGCGAACCCUAGCGCCACCGCUAGCUCUCGACGAUGCCGGUGACGAAGCGCUUAGCUGCCGCGGCUUCUCUGACACCGUCCUCACGCCGGCCGCGGACCUCGUCCUCUCCGCCGUCGCCAUAGGUGUCUUCCGUCGCCAAGUUAGGGCACGGAAGAUCGAACUACUCAGCCUCCAACUUUGCUGUGUCUAGCAGUUCUUCGUGUGGUAAUUAAAUCUCACUUUUUACCAUCUUUUCGAUCUGAUAGAUUCAUCCUUCUUUACCAAAAGCGGUUUCUAGAUCUCCAAAAUUGAAUCUAUCUCCUUCUGCAUCUCAUACUAUGCCUAGUCUGUUCACUUAUGCUUCUCUACAAGUUAGAUUCCUCACUUGUACUUAUUCUUGGAUUCAUACAAAUCUGGAACCAACUCUCAUCAAAUAAGUGAAUGUCUUCGCGUUAUGAGGUCAAUGUCUUCAAAUUGAUUUAUCUUCAAAAUCUUCUGAGAAUGCAUAUGACCUCUUCCCCUUCCCUCGCACCUCUAAUGCUAUCACAGGUACAUGUCUGUGGGAGAAUCCCUUGGUUCUCAUAGUCUACAUUCGUUUGCAGAAUUCUUACAGAGUCACAUAAAUUCUCCUGAAGCCAGUUCUUGUCUGACCAGCCGUCGGAAGCCUUUGCAAGUUCUGAAGCCUUUCAGGUUAAGCUUCAUGGCUACAGAGAAGUCAGCUAGAAAGGGUGGCAGACAGCACCGUGGGAAUACUUCCAAGGAUUUGCCACCAGAUUUGCACGAACUGUACAAGACAGACCCAGAGGAAACCUAUGGAGAACGCAAGAAUCGAAUCCAAUGUAUUCAAAGAUAUUGGGGAGAGGAAUGGUUCAAGUACAGAUUUGUCACUGAAGAGUAUGCCGAGAAGAAUGCCAUCAAGCGACCCUGGGGAGAUAUACUGUACAAAAAUCUUCCUCCCGGGUCCAAGACUGAAGCUAUUGAGCAAGGCUUCUAUCCGUGCAUGGUUCGUGGACCAGAGCCAGAGAACGCUGACCCUUCAUCUCUGUUGUGGUGUCGCGAAGACAGUCUGUUCAAGCGCAACUUCAAGUUCGCGAAAGACUCUGCUGUGAAGAACAAGAAGGCAUAUGGACUUGACUUCAACCCAGGCCCAUCUGCUCCUCGGGAAGAUGGCACCCGUGAAGCCAAUGAAAACAGAAUCGUCCCCUUCUACAACCUCGAAGGCCUCAUCACUCACAUUGCUGUCCAAGGAGCAAAUGUGGAUCACUCUGGUGAUGAUGCUGACUUUGAUGAUGCACCAGCUCCUCCUCCUAAGCCGCAGAAGCAAAAGAAAUCUAAGGCUUCCAAACCUACUGCUGCACCAAAAGCUUCUCGACUGAAGCCAUUGGCAACUGCCCCUCCUACUCCAAGUAACAAUUCUGAAGAUCUCUCUCGCAUAUCCAAGAAGCGAGAGAAGACACAGAAUAAAAAUGUUCAAAGUUUUGGUCAAGCCCUGACACCUGUUGCCGUUCUGAGGAACGAAACUGAAGCCAUUGAUCUGUCAUCAGAUGAUGAGUGUGGAGAUGAUGCUCUUGAGUAGAUGAUAAAGAGCAAGCAAGAGGCUGAGAUCUUCAAUGAUCUGCCCCUCUUCGACGUCAACAUUCUGGAUAACUUCAUUGAUGAGUGGUUUGACAACCCCAAUCUCAGCUUUGAUGAUCUUCAGGUCCCAUUUGGCAUCAGCGUCUCUUUCCAAGCCACCAUUGCUCCUGAGCUGGCUCUGGCUCAGCGAAUUGUUCAACUGAAGAACAAAACUGAUCUUGAGAAAGAACAGUUCAAGAAGCACAUGGCCAAGCUCAGCGUGGCUGAUGUUCAGAAAUUCAAACUGAUGUUGAAUGACCUCAAGGAUGCAUUUCGCAAGAAACGUGAAGAAGCCAAAGGUUCGCGCGAGCGCAUGAAGAAUCUAGCUGCCAAGUGUGUUCAAGCUUACAAUGAAGCUGAGAAGCGCAAGGCACUUGGGCGUCCUGGCAUCGACCCCAAGCUGGCUGCCAAGAAGAAGAAGCCUAUUGUGGCCCAAACUAAAGCUCCAAGGAGGGAAGAACGUCGCAUUGUCUUCCCUGCCAGUAUGCCAGGCUCGAAGCCUAAGGUCCUCACAAUGGCUUUAGAACAGAAGAAAACCAAGGCAGCUGAAGCCGAAGCCAGAAAGCGCAAACUCAAGAACACCACUGAUGAUGCACCACCCACCAAGAAAAGAAAGACCAAGAAGAAAGAUCGGGCUUCUCCCACAGAGCCCCUUGUUGUCGAGCCUAUUGCUUUUGCUCGUCCUGCAUCUGAAAACUAAGAGCGUCAGUUGAUAGUUCAUGAGCCUGCUUCCGCAGAGGCUCCUGAAACUGAAGAAGUUCUAGCCGUUGACCCCAUCACGGCUAAAGACAUUGGUCCCCAAGACAAUGUCGUAGAUGAUGAAGUCCUUCCUCAGAUCGAGCGCCCAACGGUAUCAUCGCCUGUUCUCACGAACAGCAAACUCAUCAGUAUUGGUCGUCCUUUGACACCAAUCUCUCAGGAUGCCUCAUGGGCUGAUCACCCCCAACCAGCAACUCCAAGUCAAGACUCAGCAAGUACACCCCAUCCUCCACCAGCGCAAGUCACCAUCCCAAUGGUGAAUGACGACAAUUACAUGGAGACCACACCUUCACCAAAAGCGUCGCCCCGUGUUCCAACGGCUUCGCAAAGGCCCAAGGCCACCAGUCUCCAUGACAACCAUCACAGAAGAAGAUUCAAACCAAUCCAGCUGAGUGGCACGUCAAGUGUUCCCUGAAGAAAAUCCCUCUGUGACGGUUCCCACGUCUGAAGCCACUGCUGCUGAAGACAAUCCGGCUGCAUCAGCCGAUGAAAGACAAGAAGAAGAACGUGUUGCUACACCCCCUACCAACCAAGAAGUUGUUCUCGAGGAGAAUGUGUCUGUGCCCGACCCUCCAGCUACUCAAGUGGAGGUUGAAAAUCCUGAGGCGGCCACCAACAACACUACUGAAGCCAAUGACGUUGUCAUGGCUGAAGAUAAUGUAGCGCCUGUAAUGAACACCGUGCAUGAAGCCAGUGAUGCACCUGCAACAAAUGUGCAGCUUGACGCCUUUGCUUAUGCCACUGCUCCUGUUCCACCACCAAGGCCACAUACUAUUGAGCAAGCAUUUUACCAAGGCGAGCUUGUCACUGUCAGAUGGCUAAUUCUGGUUCCUCCGCCUACUCCCGGACCUCAGUUUGACUAUCAUGUGGAGCACAGGCCUCAGGUUCAGAAGCCAAAACCGAGGCUACCAAGGUUUCUAGGUACUGCAUCUGCGCCAGGAUCAUUCAAUGUCAAUCGCUUCAUUGCACACAACACAUUCUUCGAUAGAGCCAAGAACCCAUAUUCCAAGCCAAGAAUAUCAUCUGAUCGGUUCUGGAGCUAUCAGCAGCGCAUCUAUUACUCUUGUGUUCUAUACAAUCAAGGGCGCAUAUUUCCUCAUAUGCGUCUGGAUUCUGAAGCCAUUGCUGGCCUGCCCUGCUUAGAAGGAGCCCUUGACUGUUUCCGAGAUGCAGGCCUUCUCCAGUUUGUGACAGAUAAGGAGAAUUGGGAUGAAGAGCUUCUGCUGCAAUUCUAUGCCACUCUCCACAUUCGUGGCUACAACAGGGAUCCGAAGACAUGGGUCCCUGAGUGGAUGACAGGCAAUGUCCAUCAUGAAGCCAAAGCUCUUGACCUCAUUGAGCUUACUGGCCUAUCCACUCCACGUGAACUCUAUGAACCUGGUUGUCAGCAUCACCGCAAUGCAUUGGAAAGCAUCUUUUAGAAGCCUGAGCCCAAUAUGAGUCACAUGCUGAGUAUGAUGAAGCCACUACCAUAGGAUGUUGAAUAUCCUAAGGAAUUUUUUGUUGAAGACCUGGAGUAUCUACCCCACACCAUCUAUCACAUUAUCAGGCGAACUCUAUGACCCAUCAAAGGACAUUCUUCCUCAGCAAAGCUCGAAGGCGCAAUGAAGACAUUGGUCUUCUACAUUCUCAAUGGUAUCAGCUUCAAUGCUCAGGAUUUCUUCAUUUGCCAAUUUCCUGCAUCUGGCUCAGACAUAUUUGGUAUGAAAUUCCAUGCUCCAUGGGUUAUGUGACUGAUCAAGCUUCACUCUGUUGUUGACUAUCAGCCCUCUGCACGCAACCAUCUCAUAUUUCUGCCAGAGGUUGAUAUGUCCGUCGAAGCCAUUUACCUAGAGCCCGCCAAGGAGGCAAUUUAUCUUCACAAUGUCGAUCGUCAUAGUUUAUCUCAGCAUGUUGAAGGUGUUCAGGUUGCUUCUCGUGUUUAUCCGCUGGCCAACAAUACUCGUCGUGCACGGACUGAAGCCAUAGAAAACACUAUUGCUCCAAGGCCUCGGAAGUGAUCUCGUGUGCUCAAUGACCGAGAGCUUCUCGUGGCCUUGCAUCAGAAACACGACAAGCAUCACUACUGGCUAAAGCGUCAAAUGCAAAGCCUCUUGGUGGAUAUCAAUCGCAUUCGCAACCUUGCCACCAAGAAUGCCUUUGUCACUCAUGAAACCUGUCGGAGAUCUUGGAAGAGUUUGACUUUGCUCAGUGCUGAAGCUGAUCUUCAAGACGAUGGCUUCACAAAGAGAUUCAAGUUCGACACCACUCCUCCCAGGAAUGCUGUCUUGCGUCGAACUCCGUCCCUUGAAGAUUCAGAGUACUCCUCCUCCUUGGCCACUGUUAAUGCCAGAGUCCUUGAUGACGCCGAUGAUGCUACUACACCACCUCCAACUUCGGCGCGUAUCGACACUGCACAAGGUUCAUCUGCACCACCAACUCUCAACGACGACCCUGCUGCCUCACCUACUCCUCAUGGGAACGAGUAGAAACUAUGUCUUCAAACCUUUUUGGUCCUUACUGACAAAAGGGGGAGAAGCAUAUGUUGAUAGUCUUCAAGCGGGUCUAUAUGGGUGGUUGCUAUACUUUUGCCUUGUGUUACAACUCUUGCUUUUGAUACAUUUGGUUUUUUGAGUUGUAACACUUAAACUUGAUGGUCGUCUGCUACCUUUUUUGCUAUUCUGUGAUGCAACGAUAACUUCCACAUGUGCGAUGAUAAAUCCCUCAUAAAGUCAUUCCGCAGACGUCCAUUUUUCAUUAUGCAUGUCAUUAUUCCUGUAUAUCUGUUCAUGCAUGAUGUAUUGUCUUCAUACGGUGAAGAGGAUCUCUAGAAGUACAACCUGCCAUGUGCAUUUGCAUUCCAACACAAAACAUUUAUAUGCACAUCUUCAGGGGGAGCCUUUUUGCCACCUAUGAAGACAAUAUCUUAAUCCUUUACAAUUCCACACGCUUUUAUCCCCGUUGAAAACUUCAACCAGUUUGUCAUCAGUCACCAAAAAGGGGGAGAUUGUAAGUGCAUCUAGUGCCACCCCUAGUUGGUUUUGGAGUAUUGACGACAAACCUGGUUGAGGGACUAAUGUGUUUGUGAGAAUUGCAGGAUAACACAGGUAGUAGUCCCUCAUUGAUUCGGUUUUCCUACCGGAGAUGACCCCUAAAAAUGUGUGAAGACAUUAAAGACAAUGGUGGUCUGUGAAGCUAUUCAUGUUGAAGACUAUGACAUGAGAAGACAUCGAGUGAAGACUAUGGAGCGUGAAGACUUAGUUGUUUCGUUGUUUCCUUUUCUUCUUUGUUGAGUCAUAGGAACCACCGCACUGUUAAGUGGGGUCCAAGUGAACAAAGUCAGAGUGACUGAAGUGAUGCUCAACCAAAUCUUAUGUCUUCGAGCGAAGACAAUGAGAGCAAAUCUUAUCCAGAGUCCGAUGAGUCAGCUUUACUUGUAGCCCAAGUCAAGCUGCCGCGUGUGUUUGAAAUCUGACCGUUGAGACACGUGUCAGCUCCUUAGUGACCCAGGGUCAUUUUGGACAAAUCAGGUCGGGUUGCCCAAUGGCUAUAAAUAGCCCACCCCCUACACCAUAAAUUGGUGGCUGCUCAGAGUUAGUACACGGCUUUUGUUGUUUGAGAGCAACCCACCUCUGAAGCAUUUAAGAGAGAAUCCUUGCGAGGACAAAGCCCAAACCACCCAGAGCCCAAAGAGCGUUUGGCAUCACUGAAGUAUUUCUGUCCGCUUGAUCUGAAGACUUGUUACACUUGAGGACUUUGAAUCCUCCAGCCGGUUAGGCGUCACGUUCUGAGCAUCCAAGAGUCAUUGUGGAUUGCCGGUGAAUGAAGUCUGUGAAGGUUUGGAAGGCUACCUUGAAGACUUACCAGAGUGAUUCGGUGGGGACUAGGUGUCCUUAGCUCAAGGGGAAUAAGGUGAAGACGCGGUCUUCUGAGUUAAAUCUCAGCCUCCCUAACCAGACGUACAUUUGUCACAGCAACUGGAACUGGUCAAACAAAUAUUUGUCCUCCCGAAGCUACUGGUUUUAUCUCUCACUUCUCUUUACUUAUAGUCUGUCUUCGUGAAGUUAUUGCAUGCUUGAUUUAUCUGUUUGACUUCACUGUGUGACUACUUGUCCUAAUUGGCUUCAUACUAUCUUCCAUCCUGAUCUUUACUACCUAGCUGCUAAUAGUCUUCGUGCUUUCACUUCAUUGAAUACUUGACUAUGGCUUGUCUAGUGUAGUCUACCUUCCGCUGCAUUUGAAUAGUGUCAUUUAUACUUUUUGUCUUUGAAACUCCCAUGUUUUGAAGACUUUCAUAAAAAUCGCCUCUUCACCCCCCUCUAGUCGAUAACUAGCCUUUCAAUACAUAAAAAUGGGCCAACUUUGUUGUUGUUGUUGUUGGCUGGGAUUUUGUUUUCUUUUUGUACAGCUUGCAAAUCAUAAUACUCCCUUCGUCCGGAAUUGCUUGUCAUAGAAAUGAGGAAAAUGGAUGUAUUUAGAACUAAAAUACGUCUACACACAUCCAUUUCCCCGACAUGUAUUUUCGAGCGGAGGGAGUAUUUUUUAACGAAAUUUUGUAGAUCCUUCACGAAUAUGUAUAAGUUUUCACAAAUUUUUCUAUUUCUAUUGAUACGUGGAAAUAUCAUUUUUAAAGUUUUUGAAAAAAAGGGCUCCUGUAGACCGUCUUCCAAAAAUCCGCACUUCCCAUUUCUACAAGUAUUUAUUCCGGCUUGCAUUUUAGGAUGAGCUCUACAAGUCCUUCAUAAUCACACAGAAGAGCGGGGAGGAGCUGACAAUCUGGGUCUUUGAAGACGAUUAUAAAGACAAAUUGAAUAAUUCCAUGAAGAGUGUUCUCUUAGAGCAACUCUGUUUCUCUGACGCGAUAAAAACCUGGCGUUGGACCGGAAGAAAGCACAGUUUCACGGCCACCCCUUGGGCCUGGGCUGAUCUACACAAAGCCCAUGAGGACACAGACACAGAACGCGUUGCGAUUACAGCCCAUCUUACUUACUGUCUACGUAAAUCUGUGUCCUAGAAUAAGGAAAAACCGCCGCUCUAUGCGACAAAUAGUCGGGGUUCCGCACAGGCGCGAUCAACGAGCGCUCAGGAUGGGCCGGCCUGUUAACGUAACAACUGGUUUUGUGAACCUUCUAUGAAAGUUCCUUGCCUGGUUUUCCGGUUUUGGAACCUUCUAGAAGGUUCCUGGACCGGGUUUUCUUUUUAUAUUUAUUUUUUAGCAUUUCUUUUCGAUUAAUCUUUCCUUUUUUGUUUUUUUUCUAUAUUUUUUCAGUUUUUUUCUAUUUUCUUUCUUCUUGCACUUUACAUUUUGAUUUUUUUCCUAUUUUCAUGGAAUAGUUUAGAAUUUUUCAAAAGGGAAAUUUUAGAUUUUUUUCAUCAUUUUUUAGAAAAUGUUCCUAUUUUCAAAUUUUUCUUCAGAAAUUUCAUAAAAGUUUAGAAUCUCAAUAAUUGUUUGCUUAUUUUAAAAAAGUUCAAAAUUUCAGAAAGUGUUUGUCUUUUUAAAUUUUGUUCACAAACUAAAAAAAGUUCGCUUCUUUAGAAGUAUGUUCCUGCUUUCAAAUUUUGUUUAAAAAUUCAAAAAAUAUUCAUGUUUCCAAAUUUGUUCACGAAUUCAAAAAAUGUUCACAUUUUCAAAUUUUGUUCACAGAUUAGAGAUUGCUCAGGAGUUUAUAAAAGUGUUCCCAUUUUUAAAAAUUGUUCACAAAUUCCAAAAAUGUUCCCUUUUUCAAAAUUUGUUCUCAAGUUCAGAAAACUUUCAAAUUUUUUCAGUUUUGUUCACAUAUUCAAAAAAAUCUAGGGAUUUUAGAAAAUGUUCCUGUUUCCAAAAUUGUUCACAAAUUCAAUAAAUGUUCACAAAAUCAAAAAAAUCCGGUUUUCAAAAUUUGUUCACAAAUUCAGAAAACUUUCACAAUUUUCAAUUUUGUUCCCAUAUUCAUAAAAAUACGAAAUUUAGAAAAUGUUCAUGCUUUCCAAAAAAAUCACCAAUUCAAUAAAUGUUCAUUUUUCGAAAAAUUGUUCACAAAAUUUAUAAAAUGUUCCCGUUUUCAAAAUUUGUUUACAAAUUCAGAUAAUUUCACAUAUUUCAAAUUUUUCACAUAUUCAAAAAAAUCUGGGAAUUUUAGAAAUUGUUCCUGUUUUGCAAAUUUGUUCACCAAUUCAAUAAAUGUUCAUUUUUCAAAAAUUGUUCACAAAUUAUAAUAUGUUUGGGAAUUUAAGGGAUGUUCCAAUUUCCAAAAGAAAAUCCGAAAUUAAGAAAAGUUCCUUUUUUUGAAAAUGUUUUCGUUUGUCAAAAACUCUUUUACAAAGUUGAGAAGUGUUUGUGUUUAAAACACUCAGGGUUUUUUCAAAAAAAGCAUUCGGAAUUCUUAAAAUAUGUCGGAUUUGGGCGUAUGUUGCUUCUUAAAGUUUUACGUUGCCUUAUGUUCAAUAAAUAGUAGCUCAGCAGGUAGUAUUUUGCGGUCUAUUGGUUAAGAUCUCGUGUUUGAUCCCUGCUAAGGGCGGCUUAAUUUUUUAGCUACUCUGAGUUUUGCAGAAAUCAGCAAAUCUGUGGCCGAAGAAAGCAUGCAGCUAAGGGGCAUGUACAAUGGUUGAUAAGAGCAAGUACAAUAGAGCUUAGUCAGCGGGCUAUAAGGAAUAAACUAGUAUAUUUCUGCUUAGUUGGAAGAAAGAGAAGAGGAGAGAGAAGGUAAGCGGACUCUUCGUGAAGAGCCAGCUUUAGCACAUGCUCCUAGGCACUUUGUGAGAAUGAAAUGUGGGCCACAUAAUAACACUUUGUUGAUCUACUAUUGUACAUGUUAGCUAUAAGAUGGGCUGUAGAUGACGUGGCACUGGCUUAUAGUCAGCAGCUGGCUAUACUAUUAACCAUGCUCUAAGGUGAUAUUAUUAUUUUAGAUGAACAGGGAUGUCCCCCCUCCCCGGUUCCAUUACUCAGCAUGAAAACAAAACUCGGUCUCCUGUUAUACAACAGCUCACUUAGAGGAGCAGUUCAGCCUAAAAACGACACUACGAUUUUGAAAGAGUAAACCGGGAAUACAGAUCUUUGAAAAGAUCAAACGGCACGCAGGCCCAAACUAGAGUAACACCAAUCAGAUUGAAAUCUCCAGGUUUGCAUCCGCUUCCAUCUCUGCAGCUUUCCUGAGCUUGAAUGGUGGUGCUGAGGCUGCUUGAGGAGACUUUAUAUAUUUAGCAGGCAAGCAUCGAUACUGGGCUGCUUAGCAAGUUUUUGCUCUUCAGGGCACUCUGCUUUUUUGGGGAAUGGAAACGCCAGUCAUCGUCAGAGAUCUUCAGCUUGCCCCACUGAUUCACGACCCCAUCCUUCAUGCAACCCUCCAGCAUCAGCCACUCGUUAUUCUCAGCGGUUGUAGCAAGAAAGCUGUUAGCGCUGUCAGGAAAAUCUCCAGAUGAGCCUUGCCACUUUCUGGCACCAAGAUCGCCCAGAACUUGAGGGUUCUGAGGAUCAACCUCCAAACCUGCAAAAUCGAUGUCCAAAUGGUGUUGUUAAAGAUUAUAGAGUUCCUAUACUUCCACAAACACGAGAGGACAACCGAUGAGACCAUGUCUAGAGCAGAAUUCUUCUUAUUAGAUACCCAAAAUCUGGCAACAGAUUCAUACUCUAUUCCUAUCCUGACGUGAAAGUGGUCAGCCACAAACGACCAAAUGUUUUUUGCUACGAUGCAUUCAAAAACCAAGUGAGUGUUAGUUUCCUGUUCAGAGCAAAAGACACAAUCCAGAGGUUUAAUGAUGUGCUUUUUCCUCAGGUUGUCUCUGGUCAUCAACUUGUUAUACGAGAAAAGCCACAAGAAAACAUGGAUUUUCGGGGGCACAUAAAGUUUCCACACCGUAGGGAUGAAAACUGGUUGCACCCCACGAAAAUUUAUCACAUGAUACAGAGAGCUUGAGGAGUACCAACCCUUGCUCUCAAGCUGCCAUAUCAGCGAGUCUAUGUCCUCACAGAGAGCAAUGCUUCUGGCACAUUCUACUAGGUGGUGUCAUUGCUCCAUGAGUUUAUCAUCAAAGUUCCUUCUGAAGGUCAGCUUGAGAGUUUCCCCAUCCCAGACUUCUUUAAUAGUUCUAGUUUGCUCAUUACAGACUAAGUACAUAGAACAGAAUUGGGUAGUUAGAGGGGAGGUCCCAAACCAGGUAUCUUCCCAGAAUCAAAUCCUCUCACCAUUACCUACUUUCCAUCUAAAUCCAAACUUCAGGUUUUGGAUGAUGGAUUGGAAUCCCUUCCAAAAUCUAGAAGAGUUUGGAGUAGGGUUAAUGUUGGGGAACGUAGCAAAAAUUCAAAAUUUUCUAUGCAUCACCAAGAUCAAUCUAUGGAGAUACUAGCAACGAGAGAGAGGGGAGUGCAUCUUCAUACCCUUGAAGAUUGCUAAGCGGAAGCGUUACAAGAACGUGGUUGAUGGAUCGUACUCGCGGCGAUUCAAAUCGCGGAAGAUCCGAUCUAGCGUCGAACGGACGGCGCCUCCGCGUUCAACAGACGUACAGCCCGGGGACGUCUCCUCCUUCUUGAUCCAGCAAGAGGAGAGGAGAAGUUGAGGGAGAGCUCCGGCAACACGACGGCGUGGUGGUGGAGCUUGCAGUUCUCCGGCAGAGCUUCGCCAAGCACUACGGAGGAGGAGGAGGUGUUGGGGAGGGAGAGGGCUGCGCCAGGGGAAGGGUGAAGCUCCCAUGCGCCUCCCCCCUAUAUAUAGGGGUGGAGGGGGCUGGUUUCUUGCCCUCCAAGUCCAUUGGGGCGUUGGCAAAGGUGGGAGGAAAGAAAUCCCAUCAUUUCCUUCCCCACCGAUUGUUAUCCCCCCUUUUUUAGGGAUCUUGAUCUUAUCCCUUCGGGAUAUGAUCUUAUUCCUUCUAAGGGGGGAUCUUGGUGCACCUUGACCAGGGGUGUGGGGCCUUUCCCCCACUACCCACGUUCAUGUGGGUCCCCCCAUGCAGGUGGGCCCCACUCCGGAACCUUCUAGAACCUUCCCGGUACAAUACCGAAAAAUCCCGAACAUUUUCCGGUGGCCAAAAUAGGACUUCCCAUAUAUAAAUCUUUACCUCCGGACCAUUCCAGAACUCCUCGUGACGUCCGGGAUCUCACCUGGGACUCCGAACAACAUUCGGUAACUGCACACUAAUUCCCAUAACAACUCUACCGUCACCGAACCUUAAGUGUGUAGACCCUACGGGUUCGGGAAUCAUGCAGACAUGACUGAGACAGCUCUCUAGCCAAUAACCAACAACGGGAUCUGGAUACCCAUGUAGGCUCCCACAUGUUCCACGAUGAUCUCAUCGGAUGAACCACGAUUUCAAGGAUUCAAGCAAUCCCGUAUACAAUUCCCUUUGUCUACCGGUAUAGUACUUGCCCGAGAUUCGAUCGUCAGUAUCCCGAUACCUUGUUCAAUCUCGUUACCGGCAAGUCUCUUUACUCGUUCCGUAACACAUCAUCCCGUGAUCAACCCCUUGGUCACAUUGUGCACAUUAUGAUGAUGUCCUACCGAGUGGGCCCAGAGAUACCUCUCCGUCACACGGAGUGACAAAUCCCAGUCUUGAUUUGUGCCAACCCAACAGACACUUUCAGAGAUACCCGUAGUGUACCUUUAUAGCCACCCAGUUACGUUGUGACGUUUGGUACACCCAAAGCAUUCCUACUGCAUCCUGGAGUUGCACAAUCUCAUGGUCUAAGGAAAUGAUACUUGACAUUAGAAAAGCUUUAGCAUACGAACUACACGAUCUUUGUGCUAGGCUUAGGAUUGGGUCUUGUCCAUCACAUCAUUCUCCUAAUGAUGUGAUCCCGUUAUCAAUGGCAUCCAAUGUCCAUGGUCAGGAAACUGUAACCAUCUAUUGAUCAACGAGCUAGUCAACUAGAGGCUUACUAGGGACAUGGUGUUGUCUAUGUAUCUGCACAUGUAUCUGAGUUUCCUAUCAAUACAAUUAUAGCAUGGAUAAUAAACGAUUAUCAUGAACAAGGAAAUAUAAUAAUAAUAACUAAUUUAUUAUUGCCUCUAGGGCAUAUUUCCAACAGUCUCCCACUUGCACUAGAGUCAAUAAUCUAGUUCACAUCGCCAUGUGAUUAACACUCACAGGUCACAUUGCCAUGCGACCAACAUCCAAAGAGUUUACUAGUGUCAAUAAACUAGUUCACAUCAUCAUGUGAUUAAGACUCAAUGAGUUCUGGGGUUUGAUCAUGUUUGCUUGUGAGAGAGGUUUUAGUCAACGGGUCUGCAACAUUCAGAUCCGUAUGUACUUCGCAGAUCUCUAGGUCAUAUUUGUAAAUGGUGCUUCCACGCUCCACUUGGAGCUAUUCCAAAUGGUUGCUCCACUAUACGUAUCCGGUUUGCUACUCAGAGUCAUUCGGAUAGGUGUUAAAGCUUGCAUCGACGUAACCCUUUACGCCGAACUCUUUAUCACCUCCAUAAUCGAGAAACAUGUCCUUAUUACUCCAAGGACAAUUUUGACCGCUGUCCAAUGAUCCAUUCCUGGAUCACUCUUGUACCCCUUUGCCAGACACGUGGCAAGCCACACAUCAAGUGCGGUACUCAGGAUAGCAUACUGUAGAGCCUACGUCUAAAGCAUAGGGGACGACCUUCGUCCUUUCUCUCUCUUCUGCCGUGGUCAAGCUUUAAGUCUUAACUGCAUACCUUACAACUCAAGCAAGAACUCCUUCUUUGACUGAUCCAUCUUGAACACCUUCAAGAUCAUGUCAAGGUAUGUGCUCAUUUGAAAGUACCAUUAAGUGUUUUGAUCUAUCCUUAUAGAUCUUGAUGCUCAGUGUUCAAGCAGCUUAAUCCAGGUUUUCCUUUGAAAAACUCCUUUCAAACAACCCUUUAUGCUUUCCAGAAAUUUUACAUCAUUUCGGAUCAACAAUAUGUCAUUCACAUAUACUUAUCAGAAAUGUUGUAGUGCUCCCACUCACUUUAUUGUAAAUACAAGUUUCUAACAAACUUUGUAUAAACCCAAAAACUUUGAUCACUCCAUCAAAGCGUAUAUUCUGACUCCGAGAUGCUUGCUCUAGUCCAUGGAAGGAUCGCUGGAGCUAGCAUACCUUUUAGCAUCCUUAGGAUCGACAAAACCUUUCUGAUUGUAUCACAUACAACCUUUCCUUAUGAAAACUGGUAAGGAAACUUGUUUUGACAUCCAUCUGCCAGAUUUCAUAAAUGCAGCUAAUGCUAACAUGAUUCCGACGGACUUAAGCAUCGCUACGGAUGAGAAAAUCUCAUCGUAAUCAACUCCUUGAACUUGUGAAAAAACUCUUCGCCACAAGUCGAGCUUCAUAGACGGUGACAUUACCGUCCACGUCUAUCUUCUUCUUAAAGAUUCAUUUAUCUCAAUGGCUUGCCGAUCAUCGGGCAAGUCCACGAAAGUCUAUGCUUUGUUCUGAUACAUGGAUCCUAUCUCGGAUCUCAUGGCUUCUAACCAUUUGUCGGAAUAUGGGCCCGCCAUCGCUUCUCCAUAGCUCACAGGUUCAUUGUUGUCUAGCAACAUGACCUUCAAGACAGGAUUACUAUACCACUCUAAAGUAGUACGCAUCCUUGUCACCCUACGAGGUACGGUAGUGAUUUGAUCCGAAACUUCAUGAUCACUAUCAUAAGCUUCUACUUCAAUUGUUGUGGGCACCACAGGAACAACUUCCUGUGCCCUGCUACACACUAGUUGAAGUGACGGUUCAAUAACCUCAUCAAGUCUCCACCAUGCUCCCACUCAACUUUCCGAGACAAACUUUUCCUCGAGAAAGGACCCGAUUCAAGAAACAAUCCCUAUUUCUUUCGGAUCUAAAUUAGGAGGUAUACCCAACUGUUUUGGGUGUCCUAUGAAGAUGCAUUUUAUCCGCUUUGGGUUCGAGCUUAUCAACCUGAACUUUUUCACAUAAGUGUCGCAGCCCCAAACUUUUAAGAAACGACGACUUAGGUUUCUCCAAACCAUAGUUCAAACGGUGUCGUCUCAACGGAAUUACGUGGUGCCCUAUUAAAGUGAGUGUGGUUGUCACUAAUGCCUAACCCAUGAACGAUAGUGGUAAUUCAAUAAGAGACGUCAUGGUACGCACCAUAUCCAAUAGGGUGCAACUAUGAUGUUCGGACACACCAUCACACUAUGGUGUUCCAGGCGGAAUUAAUUGUGAAACAAUUUCCACAAUGUCUUAAUUGCGUGCCAAAGCUCGUAACUCAGAUACUCAUCUCUAUGAUCAUAUCAUAGACAUUUUAUCCUCUUGUCACGAUGAUCUUCAACUUCACUCUGAAAUUACUUGAACCGUUCAACAAUUCAGACUUGUGUUUCAUCAAGUAAAUAUACUCAGUAUCUACUCAAAUCAUCCGUGAAGUAAGAACAUAACGAUAUCCAUUGCGUGCCUCAGCACUCAUUGGACUGCACACAUCAAAAUGUAUUACCUCCAACAAGUUGCUUUCUUGUUCCAUUUUACUGAAAACGAGGCUUUCAGUCAUCUUGCCCAUGUGGUAUGAUUUGCAUGUCUCAAGUGAUUCAAAAUCAAGUGAGUCCAAACGGUCCAUUUGCAUGGAGUUUCUUCAUGCAUAUACACCAAUAGACAUGGUUCGCAUGUCUCAAACUUUUCAAAAACGAGUGAGUCCAAAGAUCCAUCAACAUGGAGCUUCUUCAUGCGUUCUAUACCAAUAUGACUUACAUGGCAGGGCCACAAGUAGGUGGUACUAUCAUUACUAUCUUAUAUCUUUUGGCAUGAACAUGUGUAUCACUACGAUCGAGAUUCAAUAAACCAUUCAUUUUGGGUGCAAGACCAUUGAGGUAUUAUACAAAUAAACAGAGUAACCAUUAUUCUCCUUAAAUGAAUAACCGUAUUGCGAUAGGCAUAAUCCAAUCAUGUCUAUGCUCAACGUAAACACCAAAUAACAAUUAUCUAGGUUUAACACCAAUCUCGAUGGUAGAGGGAGCAUGCGAUGCUUGAUCACAUCAACCUUGGAAACACUUCCAACACAUAUUGUCAGCUCACCUUUAGCUAGUCUCCGUUUAUUCCGUAGCUUUUAUUUCGAGUUACUAACACUUAGCAACCGAACCGGUAUCUAAUACCCUGGUGCUACUAGGAGUACUAGUAAAGUACACAUUAACAUAAUGUAUAUCCAAUAUACUUCUAUCGACCUUGCCAGCCUUCUCAUCUACUAAGUAUCUAGGCUAAUUCUGCUCCAGUGAUUGUUCCCCUUAUUACAGAAGCACUUAGUCCCGGGUAUGGGUUCAACCUUGGGUUUCUACACUAGAGCAGCACAUGAUUUGCCGUUUCAUGAAGUAUCCCUUCUUGCCCUUGCCCUUCUUGAAACUAGUGGUUUCACUAACCGUCAACAAUUGAUGCUCCUUCUUGAUUUCUACUUUCGCGGUGUCAAACAUCACGAAUAUUUCAAGGAUCAUCAUAUCUAUCCCUGAUAUGUUAUAGUUCAUCAUGAAGCUCUAGCAGCUUGGUGGCAAUGACUUUGGAGAAACAUCACUAUCUCAUCUGGAAGAUCAACUCCCACUCGAUUCAAGUGAUUUUUCUACUCAGACAAUCUGAGCACAAGCUCAAUGAUUGAGCUUUUCUCCCUUAGUUUGCAGGCUAAGAAAUUCGUCAGAGGUCUUAUACCUCUUGACGUGGGCACGAGCCUAAAAUCCCAAUUUCAGCCCUCGAAACAUCUCAUAUGUUCCGCGACAUUUCGAAAUCGUCUUUGGUGCCUCAACUCUAAACCGUUUAACUGAACUAUCACGUAGUUAUCAAAACGUGUAUGUCAGAUGUUCGCAACAUCCACAAACGAUGUUCGAGGUUCAGCACACUGAGCAGUGCAUUAAGGACAUAAGCCUUCUACGAAGCAACGAGGACAAUCCUCAGUUUAUGGACCUAGUCCGCAUAAUCGCUACUAUCAGCUUUCAACUAAAUUUUUUUCUAGGAACAUAUCUGAAACGGUAGAACUAAAGCGCGAGCAUUACAACAUAAUUUGCAAAGACAUUUUGACUAUGUUCAGGAUAAUUGAGUUCAUCUUAUGAACUCCCACUCAGAUAGACAUCCCUCUAGUCAUCUAAGUGAUUACAUGAUCCGAGUCAACUAGGCCGUGUUCGAUCAUCACGUGAGAUGGACUAGUCAACGUCGGUGAACAUCUUCAUGUUGAUCGUAUCUUCUAUAUGACUCAUGCUCGACCUUUCGGUCUUCCGUGUUCCGAGGCCAUGUAUGUACAUGCUAGGCUCGUCAAGUCAACCUAAGUGUAUUGCGUGUGUAAAUCUGGCUUACACCCAUUAUAUGUGAACGUUAGAAUCUAUCACACCCGAUCAUCAUGUGGUGCUUCGAAAUGACGAACUUUCGCAACGGUGCACAGUUAGGGGGAACACUUUCUUGAAAUUUUAAUGAGGGAUCAUCUUAUUUACUACCGUCGUUCUAAGCAAAUAAGAUGCAUAAACAUGAUAAACAUCACAUGCAAUCAAAAAAAGUGACAUGAUAUGGCCAAUAUCAUUUUGCUCCUUUUGAUCUCCAUCUUCGGGGCUCCAUGAUCAUCAUCGUCACCGGCAUGACACCAUGAUCUCCAUCAUCAUGAUCUCCAUCAUCGUGUCUCCAUGAAGUUGUCUCGCCAACUAUUACUUCUACUACUAUGGCUAACGGUUUAGCAAUAAAGUAAAGUAAUUACAUGGCGUUGUUCAUUGACACGCAGGUUAUACAAUAAAUUAAGACAACUCCUAUGGCUCCUGCCGGUUGUCAUACUCAUCGACAUGCAAGUCGUGAUUCCUAUUACAAGAACAUGAUCAAUCUCAUACAUCACAUAUCAUUCAUCACAUUCUUUUUGGCCAUAUCACAUCACAUAGCAUACCCUACAAAAACAAGUUAGACGUCCUCUAAUUGUUGUUUGCAUGUUUUACGUGGCUGCUAUGGGUUUCUAGCAAGAACGUUUCUUACCUAUGCAAAAACCACAAAGUGAUAUGCCAAUUGCUAUUUACCCUUCAUAAGGACCCUUUUCAUCGAAUCCGAUCCGACUAAAGUGGGAGAGACUGGCACCCGCUAGCCACCUUAUGCAACAAGUGCAUGUCAGUCAGUGGAACCUAUCUCACGUAAGAGUACGUGCAAGGUCGGUCCGGGCCGCUUCAUCCCACGAUGCCGCCGAAUCAAGAUUGGACUAGUAACGGUAAGCAUAUUGAACAAAAAUCAACGCCCACAACAACUUGUGUUCUACUCGUGCAUAGAAACUACGCAUAGACCUAGCUCAUGAUGCCACUGUUGGGGAACGUAGCAAAAAUUCAAAAUUUUCUACGCAUCACCAAGAUCAAUCUAUGGAGAUACUAGCAAAAAGAGAGAGGGGAGUGCAUCUUCAUACCCUUGAAGAUCGCUAAGCGGAAGUGUCGUGGAUUUGUCAUGGCAGAUGUCCUAGUGAAAGGACUUAGUCGUGGAGCCAUUGCUACGGAUUAACUUGAAGGGGUUAAAGCGGACACAAAGACACGAGGGUUUAUACUAGUUCGGCCCCUUCGAUGAAGGUAAAAGCCUACGUCUAGUUGUGAUGGAAUUGAUGUGGUCUCGAUGGCUAGGGAGCAAACAAGCUUCGCCUAGGCUCGAGUUGUUGUUGUCUGUCCCUGAACCGCCGCCUGGUCGUCCCCUUAUAUACACGGGUGACACCCGUCGGUCCACAGAGUCCCACACCGGUUCAUACUCGUAUCCCGGUUGGUCUCUUUCUAUUCCUAACUUACAAUACAAGCUUACAUAUCAUGCCGGUUUACGGCUACAUGUUCUAAUUCGACUACAGGCCUUGGGCCUUCAUCUGCUUACAUCACUAAUGAAGUUAACCCGGCCCAAGUAGGCCGGUUCACGCCCAGUGGUAAUAUCCCCAACAUUAGGCCCCAGAUUGAUUUGAACUGGUUCAUGUCAAUCCUUCACAAAAUCUUUGUCUUGGACAUCUUCUGGUAAUCGGUAAACCGCCAUGUCAUCAUCAUCUCUGGUUGCUGUAAACCGGCAUGACGUCAUCACGAAGUUAAUGUUUAUGACGCCUUCUUUGAUUAAUAGAUCUGCAAUACCCAAGUCAUCAGCUUCACUUCCGAAAUUUUGGCUCCUGGAUUCGCGCGCCUGACCCACGUCCGUUGCCUUAUAAAUAGGACCGAAGGGUCAUUUCCUUUUCUCCUCUUCGUCUUCCUCGCGUCGCCAGCCUCGGAGCUCCGCCGCCGCCAUCGACCUCUGCAUCGUCUCGGACCGCUGCAUCAACCUGAACGCACCAGAGUACUGCGGUAGCCUUCCGCAUCUUCUUCGUUUCCAGUAAGCCUUCUGUUCUUCUUGAUAUAGAUCUGUUCUUAGGGUUUCCUGUUCUUGCCGCGUUCAUCGCCUAUUCAUGCUCGUACUCGGACUCCUGGAUACGUCUGUGAACUCCUGCUCUGAUUAGCAGUAGCCUUUUAGCAUCCGCCUGUAGCUUCACGCUUAAGCCCAUAGAUCUCAUCUACAUAUCUUCCUAUUGGUUCACUUCCGUUCUGUCUUUACCCUUUUGAAUAUUUUCCGUUUUUCUGAACUUGCUUCAGAUCCAUUGCUGCAAUAAGAUUUUGUGAAACCUGUUUCUGCAUACUUAGCCAUCCGCAAUUGCCUUCAAUGUUUAGAUCAAGCGGUUUAACUUAAUAUAGAAAAAGUUAGUAAACCGGUAUACACCAUUAGUCCCCUUGUUGAACCGCCAGAACUUUUUAGCGAUAUGAUGCCACCUUAUAGAAAUCCGGUUUAAAUGUACUGCCUCCGGUUUAACAUUUGCUCAGACCAGCACCUUCUUUUAUCCAACAUAUUCUUGAACCGGAAUCACCUAUUUCUUGUAGAUCUCACCAUGGCCAAACAAGUAUAUGAGUGCAAUUGGGUUCCUUCUCGCGUCACAGAAACUCAGCUGGAUGAUCUAGUCUUGAUCGGUGCUUCAGACAGCAAAGAUAUUAUCCACUCGAGGGUUCCUGGCAAUGAAUGUCCUCCCACACCUCAAGAGGGAGAGGUUGUGAUCUUUGCAGAUCAUUUAGCCCGGGGCUUCAAACCGCCCGGUUCAAAAUUUUACCGGGAUGUGCUAGCCAAUUUUCAGCUCCGCCCGCAAGAUAUCGGCCCCAAUUCUGUUACCAACCUAUGUCAUUUCCAAGUGCUUUCUGAGGUAUACCUUCAAGAGGAGCCUUCAGUCGAAUUGUUUAGGGACUGCUUCCACUUAAACCGCCGCACAGAAUUCACUGAUGGCCCCAAUACCGAAUUAGGCGGUAUGGCAAUUCAAAAGAGGAAAGAGAUCACCUAUCCCCACGUCAAACUACACAGUCACCCCAAAGAGUGGAAUGAACAUGGUUCUACUGCAAAGACACCUCCCCUGACAAUGAAAAUCCCUUGCAUGGCUUUCGUCCGGAGCGGCUCAAAUUUUCUCAUCCUCUUGCUUACUUGGAUCCCAAAUUUCUUAUGAAGACUCAGCAACAUGAAGCUCGCCGCACAACCCGGCACAGCGGUCAGGUAGUUACCUCCGCCGGUUUACCAAACAGUCCGGUUCGAAAGCGCCGCUCCGAGGUCUCCGACCUUUUUAUUAAUUUAUAUCCUAAAGCGGGUUUCUUCCGUCAACCUCUUAAUCCGUCUGACUCCGAUUAUCAGGUUACUUCUCAUUCUUCUUCUGGUGAAUCGUCAGCCACUCAGCUGCCGCCACUGAAAACGGUCCUUGGGUAAGCUAGGCUAAACAUAUGCUGCUAGUAUACUGUGUUAUAACUUAUGAUGUUUCUUGACUCUUUGUUUCUCUUUCAGGGCUAAACCUAAACCGAGCAAGAAAGCCCGCCUGGACAAAGCGGCUGAGGAAGAUGUCGCCCCUGAACAGGAUAAAGCACCAGAUCUUGAAGCGUUUGUUCAUGAGGAUAUUCCCAAUGAUCCUCCUUUGCAAGAUGAUGCUAUUCCUGAGGAAAGGCCUAUCAAUACUUCAGUCCCUGCUGACCUGCCUGCCAGCUCCGUCCGGAUUGAAAGAUCCCGCAGUCCUGCUGAUAAACCGACUGCGCCAACGCAAACCGGUGAGUCCAAGGAUGAUGAUGUUGUAAUUACCGGCGUAGGUCGCUUUGAACCAGGGAAUCCUGUCGCUCUAACCAAGCAUACGGUGAAAGAGGAUUUUUCUACCAAGAGCAAAGGCAAAUGGGAUGUAGAACUGGAAACAUAUGCUGCUCUGAGUGCCCAAGAUCUUCAUUCUGGUUACUUGAACCGGCUAUAUACUAGUCGCGACUGUGAAGCUGGCCUGGUAAAGAUGAUGAGAGACAAAUUUGAGGUAACUUCCUUGUGCUUCUUCUUUCUUUACUUACUGCCACUGUAUUAAUCCUCCUAGCCCCCAAGGGCCGGUUUGUAACCUUUUUCAAACCGGGACUUGAAUAUAAUCCUCAGUACUUUGAAAUCCGUCAAUAUAGCCCCCAAGGGCCGGUUCAACUUAGCAUAGUUAAACCGGGACUCCCAUAAAGAUUCUAACAUUAGAACACAACUGAGCAAAUAGCCAUUAGCCCCCAAGUGCCAAGUUGAAUACCUGUAUUGAGCUUGGGACUUUGUGAAAUAAUAGAUGAAAACUGAAGGUGCAUUAGCCCCCAAGUAUCAAGCGUAUAACUUGUUAUGUGGUUGGUACUUCAAAUCCUUGUACCAUUUUAUUUAAAGCCAAGUACUGUUUGUAUGCAGGCUGAAGUGAGGGUCAAAGAGGACCCGAUUACUGAUUUGCAAGAGACUCUGAAAACCCAACAAGCCAAAACUGACAAAGCAAGGGAGGAAUUGACCAGCGCCUUGAGCAUCACGGAACAGUUGAAGGAGGGCUUCACGAAGGAGCGGGCUGAUUGGGCCACUGAGAAGGCCGCUUUGAUAAAAAGAGCUGAAAACGCUGAAGCUGCCCUUAAACCGGUGGUGGAUGAACUGACGACCAUAAAGCGGCAAGUGCAUGCCAUGACCGCUGCUAUCUUUGGUAAGCUCCUUUUGGUUUAUUUGACAACUUCUUCCUUCUUACAAUAGAUCCGGUUUGUCAUCGUUCCUGUACUGUUGCAGGCACACGCAUUGCCCACUUAGGAUCAGAUGUUCGGAUGAAACUGAAAGCUGCCUACACCUUAGUUGAACAACUGUAUACCGGAGCGCAGCGGAUCAUCACCAUAGCCUCUCAUAACAAUCCGGCACCCUCUUUAAUCCAAGACACUCUUAAUAGGUUUUCAAUGCUUCCUGCCCGGAUUGAAGAGCUGAAAAAAUCUGCUGCUCGAACCGGAGCCAUAAAUGCCUUGAUCCGGGCAAACGCAUGGGUGCCGGAUUUCAAUCCUGUUGAGGCAGCUCAAGGCUAUCCCAGCCUGAAGGAAGAUGGCUCCGAGUUCAAUGAAGAUGAUUUGAGGGCGAUAAACCGUGCAGUGCGCCCUCUGGCUUGUCAAUUGGCUGAAGGCAGACUUGUCGCAUUAUCAAGCCCAAUACAACAAUCAGAACAAACGAGUGCCUGCACGACCUCUUGAAGCGGAGAAUCUGAUUCCUCCAAUCCGUAAGCAUACUUACGCUCCUGAUAUUGAACCGUCUUCUCUGAUCCAUGAAGAGGCUGUCUUUCAAGCUUUAAUGGGAAUCGACUGGACCACUGUUGAUUUCCAGCCAAUGGAUAGAGACGAGGAAGCUGAAGCGGCGCAAGAUGAUGAGCAGGCUUGAACCGGAAGCCGGUUUAAAUAGCUGCCUUACGAUGAUCCACCAAAAUAACAAUGAUCUUAUUUAGGCAGUUGUGUUGCCUUGUAAUAGGAUAGUUAAUACUUAUGCCUUGAAUAUGCCUUCGUGCAUAAGUACUUAUGCUUUUGCUUGAAAAACCUCAAUUUAUAUUUCCUGCAAUCAGAAAAUCUUGAACUUCGGUGGCGGUUAUACCGCCAGCCGGUUUAUGAUCUUGAUAUAUAUGUCAUCAGUGUAUUUAAAACAUAUAACCAAAUUAAGCGAUACAAAGUACCUGCCAUCACUGGGCAUGAAGUUGGCUUAGCCAGGCUUGAAGCGGAGGUUUUAUAAGCCAUUACCGUCAAAGGGGAGAAAACAGCUCCCAUGUAAACCGUGCUGGGUCAUUACGAGCCCCCCUGUUACUCCGUGAUGUUAACAAGAAAGGUAAACCAGGCAUAUUUCUCCGGAUUACAAAUAAACCAAAUUCGUCAGCUAAACCGGUAAAAAGUAUUGUUGGUGUAAAUGAAACACAAAAAAAAUUAAGAAAUAGCCAUAAAAGAAAUAUGGAAGCAAAGGCAAUGAUAAAAACCGUUUGCAAAAAACAUGCUAUACUGAGCUGAUCAGAUGGUGUUACCAUGGUCGGACAGGACCAAGCCCCCAAUAGGAGUGACAAUGGUUCAAGUCAGCCAGGUCCCCAAAUGAAACCGUGGCAUAUAUGCCAAUCAAAAGGCGUGGCAAUGGUUCGGGUUCGACCAAGCCCCCAAGUGAUUUUGUGGCCUUAGGCCGAUCAAGAGGCAUGACUGGUUCAGACUUGACCAUGUCCCCAAGUGAUCUGGUGGCUUUCGCCUAUCAAGAGGUGUUGCGUUGGUUCGGACACGACCAAGGCCCCAAGUGAUAUAAAAAGGAAAUUUCAAGGGGUAAACCGGAGGCCGCUUUAAAACAGAACCACUCCAUGUAACCACGCAUGAUAUGAAAAGACAGAGACCCCGCUUUAGUUGAGGCUCCGGUUUUAUUAUAUCAAAGAUAAUAUAUACACUGUCAUAAUAUGUACAUAGAUAGAGCCGAUGGCUCAGGUAUAGUAAGGCCGAAGAUGAGCUAUGUUCCACGGCCUGUUGGUCUCCUCUUCUGAUGUGCGUGAGUCUUUAUGCUCUCGAAUAUCAAUCAGAUAGUACGACCCGUUGUGCAGAUUCUUGCUGACCACGAAAGGUCCCUCCCAAGGUGGGGAUAUCUUGUGCAUAUCUGUCUGGUCUUGGAUGAGCCGAAGCACCAAAUCUCCUUCUUGAAAAGUUCUGGUUCUGACCCGGCGACUGUGAUAGCGACGAAGAUCUUGUUGAUAAAUCGCCGAGCGGGCAGCCGCUAUGUCACGCUCCUCAUCCAAUAGGUCCAAAGCGUCUUGUCGUGCUAUCUCAUUAUCCGCUUCAACAUAAGCCGCCACACGAGGCGAAUCGUGCCGGAUAUCGCUAGGGAGAACCGCCUCCGCUCCGUAGACCAUGAAAAAUGGCAUGUAUCCUGUGGAUCGGUUGGGUGUAGUAUUGAUACUCCAUAGCACAGAUGGUAGUUCUUCAACCCAACAUCCUGGUGUUCUCUGCAAUGGAACCAUAAGCCGGGGUUUGAUGCCUCGCAAGAUCUCUUGAUUAGCCCGUUCUGCCUGUCCAUUGGACUGGGGGUGAGCCACUGAUGAUACAUCAAGUCGGAUGUGCUCACGUUCACAGAACUCCUUCAUGGCACCCUUGGAUAAAUUGGUACCAUUGUCAGUAAUGAUACUGUGUGGAAAGCCAAACCGAAAAAUCACAUUUUUGAUGAACUGCACCGCUGUCGCUGCAUCACACUUGCUGAUAGGCUCCGCUUCAACCCACUUGGUAAACUUGUCAACUGCCACCAAAAGGUGGGUUUUCUUAUCCUUGGAUCUUUUAAAAGGUCCGACCAUAUCCAGCUCCCAAGUUGCAAACGGCCAAGUGAUUGGAAUCAUCCUCAAUUCUUGAGCUGGCACAUGAGCACGCCUUGAAAAUUUCUGACAGCCAUCACACCGUUUAACCAAGUCCUCUGCAUCAGCAUGAGCUGUCAACCAGUAGAACCCGUGACGAAACGCCUUUGCCACUAGAGACUUUGAACCGGCGUGGUGACCACAAUCCCCUUCAUGGAUUUCUCGUAAGAUUUCACAGCCUUCCUCAGGAGAGACACAGCGUUGAAACGCCCCUGAUACACUGCAAUGAUGCAAUUCGCCAUUGACAAUAGUCAUAGACUUGGAUCGCCGGACUAUCUGCCUGGCUAAAAUCUCAUCCUCCGGCAACUCUCCCCGGUUCAUGUACGCAAGAUAAGGAACUGUCCAAUCCGGUAUGACAUGCAGGGCUGCCACCAAUUGAGCCUCCGGAUCAGGAAUAGCCAAAUCCGCUUCACCCGGGAGCUUGACUGACGGGUUGUGCAACACAUCAAGAAAGACAUUAGGCAGGACCGGUUUAUGCUGAGAACCCAGCCAGCUUAAAGCGUCCGCCGCUUCAUUCUUUCGACGGUCCACGUGAUCCACCUGAUAACCCUUGAAGUGACCCGCAAUAUUAUCCACCUCACGACGAUAUGCAUCCAUGAGAGGGUCCUUAGAAUCCCAAGUGCCAGACACCUGUUGAGCCACGAGGUCCGAGUCACCGAAGCACUUAACCCGGCUUAAGUUCAUCUCUUUAGCCAUCCAGAGACCAUGGAGCAAAGCUUCGUACUCAGCUGCAUUAUUAGUACAAGGGAACAUUAAGCGGAGAACAUAACAAAACUUAUCACCUCGUGGGGAAGUUAGUACGACUCCAGCCCCCGAGCCUUCCAAUUGCCUGGAUCCAUCAAAAUGGAUAGUCCAAUAUGUGUGAUCCGGCUUCUCCUCUGGUGCCUGCAACUCCGUCCAAUCAUUGAUGAAAUCAACAAGUGCUUGAGACUUUACCGCCUUCUGAGGCACGUACUUCAAUCCGUGCGGCCCAAGUUCUAUAGCCCACUUGGCAAUCCGGCCAGUUGCUUCUCGGUUCUGUAUGAUAUCACCCAAGGGAGCUGAACUGACCACUGUGAUGGGGUGCCCAUGGAAAUACUGCUUCAACUUCCGGCUUGCCAUGAAAACUCCAUAUACCAGCUUCUGCCAAUGCGGAUACCUUUGCUUGGAUUCAAUAAGCACCUCGCUGAUAUAAUAAACCGGCCGCUAAACCGGAUAUUCCUUGCCUGCCUCCUUGCGUUCCACCACAAUAGCCACGCUAAGUGCACGAGCAUUGGCGGCUACGUAUAACAAUAACGUCUCCCUGUCGACCGGAGCCGCAAGAACUGGCGGAUUGGCUAAUUGCCGCUUUAAGUCCUCCAACGCUUCAUCAGCAGCCGGACUCCAGAUGAAUUGAUCUGUCUUCCUCAGCAUCUGGUACAAAGGGAUAGCCUUCUCUCCGAGGCGGCUGAUAAACCGGCUCAGUGCGGCGAUCCCACCUGCCAAACGCUGAACAUCGUUGAUACACUUCGGUUUAGCCAGGGAGGUGAUAGCCGUAAUCUUCUCCGGAUUAGCCUCAAUUCCUCUGUUAGACACAAGAAAACCCAGUAACUUGCCUGCCGGAACACCAAAAACACACUUGGCCGGGUUUAGCAUCAUCUUGUAAACUCGCAAGUUGUCAAAGGUUUCCUUCAAAUCAUCCACCAGCGUCUCCUUCUGCCUUGACUUGACUACAAUAUCAUCCACAUAAGCGUGCACAUUACAGACGAUCUAUUUAUGCAAGCAGUUCUGUACACACCGUUGAUAAGUGGCUUGGGCGCUUUUGAGCCCAAAAGGCAUAGAUACAUAGCAGAAGGCUCCAAAGGGAGUAAUGAACGUCGUCUUCUCCUAGUCCUUAACCGCCAUUUUGAUUUGAUGAUAUCCAGAAUACGCAUCCAAAAAACUCAAACGCUCACAACCCGCCGUGGCAUCAAUAAUCUGGUCAAUGCGGGGAAGGGCAAAAGGAUCCGCUGGACAAGCUUUGUUAAGAUCCGUGUAAUCCACACACAUACGUCAAGUGCCGUUUUUCUUAAGAACCAGCACCAGAUUAGCAAGCCACUCUGGAUGGAACACUUCAAUGAUAAAGCCAGCUGCUAAGAGCCUGGCUACUUCCUCUCCAAUAGCUUUGCGCCUUUCUUCGUUAAACCGGCGGAGAAAUUGCUUUACCGGUUUAUACUUAGGAUCCACAUUAAGAGUGUGCUCAGCGAGUUCCCUCGGUACACCUGGCAUGUCAGAAGGCUUCCAUGCAAAAAUGUCCCAAUUCUCACGGAUGAACUCGAUGAGCGCGCUUUCCUAUUUAGGGUCCAAGUUGGCACUGAUAGUGAACUGCUUGGACGAAUCGCCGGGCACGAAGUCAACAAGCUUAGUCUCAGCCGCCGAUUUGAACUUCAGAUCUGAAUCAUGCUCCGUGGUCGGCUUCUUCAAAGGGGUCAUGUCCGCCGGAUCAACAUUGUCCUUAUAAUAUUUCAACUCCUCCGUGGCACAAACCGACUCUGCAUAGGCCGCAUCACCUUCCUCACAUUCCAAAGCAACCUUACGGCUCCCAUGAACCGUUAUUGUCCCCUUGUAACCCGGCAUCUUGAGCUGCAAGUAGAUAUAACAAGGUCGUGCCAUGAAUUUGGCAUAAGCCGGCCGCCCAAACAAGGCGUGAUACGGGCUCCGGAUCUUCACCACCUCAAAGGUUAGUUUUUCGGAUCGGGAAUCAUGCUCGUCCCCAAAAGCCACCUCUAGGGCUAUCUUGCCAACGGGGUAUGCUGAUUUACCAGGCACCACACCAUGGAACACUGUAUUAGACGGUCUGAGAUCUUUAUCUGUUAGCCCCAUGCGGCGGAAUGUCUCAUAGUAUAGGAUGUUAAUACUUCUCCCUCCAUCCAUGAGUAACUUGGUGAAUUUAUAACCUCCCACCUGAGGGUCCACAACUAAUGCCAACUGGCCCGGAUUGUCAAUCCGGGGGGGGGGGGGUGAUCCUCCCUGCUCCACACGAUAGGCUGCUCCGACCAGCGUAAGUAAUGUGGCACAGCCGGUUCAACAGAGUUCACCGCUCACUUGUGAAGCUUCCGGUCACGCUUAUCCAAGCUGGUUGUGAAAACGUGAUACUGUCCGCUGUUCAACUGUUUUGGCUGGCUCUGAUAACCCGACUACUGCUGCUGCUGCUGUUGAUUGUAACCCCCUUGACCGUUCUGAUUAUUCUGAUUAUUAUUGCCGCCCUGAUUGAAUCCUGAACCGGAAGCACCAUCGUGACCCGGCCCAUGGAAACCGGAUCCUGAACCGCCACCUGACCCGCGGUCAUACCGGAAGGCAUUAGAGUUUUUAAACUCCUGCAUAAUGUAACAAUCCUUCCAAAGGUGGUUAGCCGGCGCCUCCUUCGUCCCGUGUUUUGGGCAAGGCUGAUUCAACAAAUAGUUCAAGCGAUCCGGGUUAGGAUUCGGAGCCCCAUUACGAUUUGCCGCUUUACCUCUGCGCCGCUGACCCUUGUCCUACGUGUUAGUGUUAGCCACAAAGUCCAUGCUGCCAUCCGCUUUGCGCUUGCCUCCGUUUCCAUGGCCCGCCGGUUUGUACUGAUGCCCUUUGAGUUGCUAUUCUUCUUUCCCUUUCCUGCUUCAUCAUCGUCAGUCUCGGGAUCCUUGGUACUAUCAGAAUCAGCAUACUUCACUAAAGCGGCCAUGAGAGUUCCCAUGUCAUUACAGAACCGCUUCAUACGCCCCAAUUUCAACUUUAAAGGCAUAAACCGGCAGUUGCCCUCCAGGGUUAAGAUCGCAGAGUCAGCAUUGAUCCUGUCAGACGAAUGCAAGACUUCCGAAACGCGGCGUACCCAAUGGGUUGUUGAUUCUCCGUCCUCCUGAACACAAGCCGCCAGGUCUACUAUGGACUUGGGCUGCUUACACGUAUCUUUGAAAUUCUGGAUAAACCGGGCCCGCAACUGGGCCCAUGAACUGAUAGAAUUAGGCGGCAGGCUCUUCAACCAAGUACGGGCCGUGCCUUCAAGCAUCAUGGUGAAGUACUUUGCACAUGCGGUCUCAUCCACAUCCAGCAUCUCCAUGGCCAUCUCAUAACUCUCUACCCACACUUCUGGAGAUAAAUCAGCGGUGUAAUUUGGCACCUUGCGCGGACCCUUGAAAUCUUUGGGCAGGCGCACAUUGCGUAAAGCGGGGACUAAACAGGGUACUCCCAAAGCAGAUGCGACCCCUGGCCCGGCAGAGGUGGUAGGACGAACCGGUGUAAGCUGAUCCGCCUCGUGUUGUGCUGCUAACUCGGCCUCCCUUCGUGCCCGGGCCCGGUCCACUACAUCUUGAGCAUCGCGAACACCACCUGUCGGGUUAUUGCCACGGGCCGCUUGACGGCCUCGCGUGUUGCUUGAUAUUGCCGGUUCAUCCAGGCACCUGCUAUAGCUCCGGCUUGGACGAGGUGUGGAGUGAAUCCGAUCGCGGCUGUAUGAAUAUGCCUCCUGUUGAAUCAAAGCGGUCCGGAGAAGCUCCUUAACCCGACGUGUCUCUAUUGCUUGGGUAGAGUCUCCUUCCACCGGGAUAGCUUCCAAUCGCGCAGCAGCCGCAACAAGAUUGUCCAUAGGAUUAGAAUAAUGACCCAGAGGUGUCUGGACCGGCGGAGGAAUCACAAUGUUCUGUCGAGGAGGUUCCAUCAGGCGGGGUUGGACCGUCGCUCCUGGCCCUGGUGCCUCGAUCCGGUUUACCUCCUGGUGCCCCGGCGGAUUACCGGUUCCAGCUCCCGGAGUGUGAAAGAGAUUUCGAGGGUCGAACCCUAAUAGCAGGCAUGAUCUGUGCUUCCGCUUCAAGACCUCCUAUGAUGCGUUCUGGUCGAGCAUGAGCUUAUAGGCCUGGGCGUCUAAAGCGGCUCGCUCUGUGGCCAUCCUGUCCUUCUCUGCUGCCAGGUCGGCUUUGGCCUGUACGAUCUGCUCUCUCACCUUGGCAAUCUCUACAUCAUGGGCCUCCUGAUCCGCCGGAUUGGCUUCUGCCAUAAGUGCAGCUAGGGCAUCAAACAGGUCAGACAGAACUUGAACCGGCGGGCGCACAAGGCCUCCUGCCCCUGCUGCCGCUCCCGCUGCUGAUCCGGAAAGCAUUGUUGCUGCGGUCGAAGAGUGAUUCGCCGCCUGUGUGCCGGCCAUGAAUAUUCCAACCCGGUUGAUCUGAUCUGGGGGGUCCGGAAUACUGUCGCCAUCGGAACAGCCCCUAAUCUGGUCGUCUUGCAACUGGUACAAUGAUUCGGUCUCUCCGGUUGAGGACUCGUCGCCGGAAUAGACGACGGUCUCACCACCGUAUUCUGACUUGUCCUCAUGCUCUCCUCCAUGGAUGACUCCGACGAAGGCAUGCUUCACGGCCGGUUUAACUUGGGUAGAUUUCGCACGCUGAGCCAUCUCGACGAGGUCGGUGCAGAUGUCCGGCUCAGGCCCAGGCUCGCCGAUCUUGCCGAUGAAAACGUGUAUGCCACCAAAGGGGACCCGGUACCCGUACUCGAUCGAAUCGGCUUCGGGACCCCAUCCUGCGUCGUCGAUGUAGAUCUAGCCACUACGACUCUUGGUCAUCCGGCCCACAGCAUAGCCUUCGAGUCCUUUGAGCUUGCCCUCCAAGAUCAUCAAACCGUCGUGCGAUAGCCCCACGGUGGGCGCCAACUGUCGUGGAUUUGUCACGGCACAUGUCCUAGUGAAAGGACUUAGUCAUGGAGCCAUCGCUACGGGUUAACUUGAAGGGGUUAAAGCGGACACAAAGACACGAGGGUUUAUACUAGUUCGGCCCCUUCGAUGAAGGUAAAAGCCUACGUCUAGUUGUGAUGGAAUUGAUGUGCUCUCGAUGGCUAGGGAGCAGACAAGCUUCGCCUAGGCUCGAGUUGUUAUUGUCUGUUCCUGAACCGCUGCCGGGUCGUCCCCUUAUAUACACGGGUGACGCCCGUCGGUCCACAGAGUCCCACACCGGUUCAUACUCGUAUCCCGGUUGGUCUCUUUCUAUUCCUAACUUACAAUACAAGCUUACAUAUCAUGCCGGUUUACGGCUACAUGUUCUAAACCGACUACAGGCCUUGGGCCUUCAUCUGCUUACAUCACUAAUGAAGUUAACCCAGCCCAAGUAGGCCGGUUCAUGCGCAGUGGUAAUAUCCCCAACAGGAAGCGUUACAAGAACGUGGUUGAUGGAGUCGUACUCGCGGCGAUUCAAAUUGCGGAAGAUCCGACCUAGCGCCGAACGGACGGCGCCUCCGCGUUCAACACACGUACAGCCCGGGGAUGUCUCCUCCUUCUUGAUCUAGCAAGGGGAGAGGAGAAGUUGAGGGAGAGCUCCGGCAGCACGACGGCGUGGUGGUGGAGCUUGCAGUUCUCCGGCAGAGCUUCGCCAAGCACUACGGAGGAGGAGGUGUUGGGAAGGGAGAGGGCUGCGCCAGGAGAAGGGUGAAGCUCCCAUGCGCCUCCCCCCUAUAUAUAGGGGUGGAGGGGGCUGGUUUCUUGCCCUCCAAGUCCAUUGAGGCGUUGGCAAAGGUGGGAGGAAAGAAAUCCCAUCAUUUCCUUCCCCACCGAUUGUUAUCCCCCCUUUUUAGGGAUCUUGAUCUUAUCCCUUCGGGAUAUGAUCUUAUUCCUUCUAAGGGGGGAUCUUGGUGCACCUUGACCAGGGGUGUGGGGCCUUGUCCCCACUACCCACGUUCAUGUGGGUCCCCCCAUGCAGGUGGGCCCCACUCCAGAACCUUCUAGAACCUUCCCAGUACAAUACCGAAAAAUCUCGAACAUUUUCCGGUGGCCAAAAUAGGACUUCCCAUAUAUAAAUCUUUACCUCCGGACCAUUCCAGAACUCCCCGUGACGUCCGGAUCUCAUCUGGGACUCCGAACAACAUUCGGUAACUGCACACUAAUUCCCAUAACAACUCUAGCGUCACCGAACCUUAAGUGUGUAGACCCUGCGGGUUCGGGAAUCAUGCAGACAUGACCGAGACAGCUCUCUGGCCAAUAACCAACAGCGGGAUCUGGAUACCCAUGUUGGCUCCCACAUGUUACACGAUGAUCUCAUCGGAUAAACCACGAUGUCAAGGAUUCAAGCAAUCCCGUAUACAAUUCCCUUUGUCUACCGGUAUAGUACUUGCCCGAGAUUCGAUCGUCAGUAUCCCGAUACCUUGUUCAAUCUCGUUACCGGCAAGUCCCUUUACUCGUUCCAUAACACAUCAUCCCGUGAUCAACCCCUUGGUCACAUUGUGCACAUUAUGAUGAUGUCCUACCGAGUGGGCCCAGAGAUACCUCUCCGUCACACGGAGUGACAAAUCCCAGUCUCGAUUUGUGCCAACCCAACAGACACUUUCGGAGAUACCCGUAGUGUACCUUUAUAGCCACCCGGUUACGUUGUGACGUUUGGUACACCCAAAGCAUUCCUACGGCAUCUGGGAGUUGCACAAUCUCAUGGUCUAAGGAAAUGAUACUUUACAUUAGAAAAUCUUUAGCAUACGAACUACACGAUCUUUGUGCUAGGCUUAGGAUUGGGUCUUGUCCAUCACAUCAUUCUCCUAAUGAUGUGAUCCCGUUAUCAAUGACAUCCAAUGUCCAUGGUCAGGAAACCGUAAACAUCUAUUGAUCAACGAGCUAGUCAACUAGAGGCUUACUAGGGACAUGGUGUUGUCUAUGUAUCCACACAUGUAUCUCAGUUUCCUAUCAAUACAAUUAUAGCAUGGAUAAUAAACGAUUAUCAUGAACAAGGAAAUAUAAUAAUAAUAACUAAUUUAUUAUUGCCUCUAGGGCAUAUUUCCAACAGUUAACAACAAAUAGAUUAGGCUUCCCAGACAAAUACUUUUGCUCUAUAAUGGAUUUCCAGGGUUUCUCUCCUUCCUCAUAGAAUCUUUUGACCCAAGAUCCUAAAAGGCAGGUGUUCACCUCUUGAAGGUUUGGAAUUCCAAGACCUCCAAAUUCUUUCUUGAUACAUAUCAUCUUCCAACUAGCAAGGUGAAGUUUCCUAUGCCCUUGAAAGUCAUUCCACAGGCAGUUAGCCAUCUGGGAAUUGAUCAUGUCUAUGGCCCACUUAGGGAAUUUGAAAAAGGAAAGAAGGUAAAUGGGGAUACUAGCCAGACAUGCUUGAAUGAGCACAAGCCUGCCUUUGUAGGAGAGUAGCUUCCCUCUCCACCCAGCAAUCCUUUUCAUGAUCUUAUCUAUAAGGGGUUGUAUGUCCUCCCUUCUAAGCUUGUCAUAGUGAAGGGGUAUCCCCAGGUACUUAAUAGGGAAAACCCCUUCAGCACAUUCUAGUGUUUGAAUGAAGCAAGCAGUUUCCUCCAUUUCCAUAUUAAUGGGGAUCAACUCACUUUUACUGUAAUUGAUUCUCAUCCCUGAGACAUGCUCAAAGCAGUUCAACACCAUCUUCAGGUUUGAGGCGUGUUGUAGGUCUUUGUCUAGGAAGAGGAUGGUAUCAUCUGCAUAUUGCAGGCAGAUGAUCCCCCAGGGCAGGCUUCCGGGCAGAGCCCAGCAAUCAUAUCCUAAUUGGCUGCCUUUAUCAGCAUUCUAGUGAGAGCAUCCACUACUAGGUUAAAUAACAGUGGGGAAAUGGGGUCUCCCUGCCUGAGCCCUUUCCCUGUGAGAAAGAAAUCACUUUCACUGUUGUUCACCUUGACUCCAAUGGACCCCCCAUGGGUAAUUUGCCUAAUCCAUUGAGUCCAUCUCCCCCCAAACCCUCUAAACCUAAGUAGUUCCUCUAAGAAUUCUAGGUUGACCUUAUCAAAGGCUUUUUCAUAGUCUAGUUUUAGCACCAACCCUUGUCUUUUGCUAGAAUGAAUUGAGUGCAGCACCUCAUGUGCUGUGACUACACUUUCUAAGAUAUACCUGCCUUUUAGGAAGACAGAUUGGUUACUAGCUACCAGCCUUUGCAAGAUUUUUGAGAAUCUAUUGGUGAGUACCUUAGUGAUAAUCUUGAAGCUACAGUUCAAAAGGCUGAUGGGCCUAAAUUUCUUCAUAGAGGAAGCAUCUGCUUCUUUGGGGAUUAGGGUCAGCAUAGCAAAGUUAAGUCUGUGUAUGUCCAACCUUCCUUUGUGGAAGUCUGAAAACAUAUUCAUCAGAUCUUUCUUCACCAGCUCCCAAAAGUGUUGGUAGAAAAAGAAGGGAAUCCCAUCAGGCCCUGGGGCUCCAUCAGAGUAUGAGUCAAAAACAGCCUAUUUGACCUCCUCUUCUAAAAAAGGAGCUUCUAAUGUGAUAUUCUCCUCAGGAGUUACUUUUUCUCCCUCAGAGAAAAAGUUUUGGUUCAUUUUGAAGCCAGUCCUAUCUUCUUUUUUGAACAAUUCUUUGUAAUACUCACUAGCAAUCUUAAGCAUCUCAGCAUUAUCAGUGACUGGCCCUUCAGGCCCAUCCAGAGAGUGGAUGAUAGUUUUCCUCCUUCUUUGGUUGGCCACUGCAUUAAAAUAUGCAGUGUUCCUAUCACCUUAUUUAAUCUCUCUAUCCCUAGAUCUCUGUUUUGCUUUAACCUCUUCUUGGAGCCAGAUUUUCUGGAGCUCAGAGUGGAUGAAUCUAAUUCUAGAAAAUUCAGCUUCAGAAAGGUUUGUGGUUUCAGACUUAAUAUCAAGCUUAUCAAAAUCUUCUUGGAGGAUUUUUUUGUAUCUUCUAAGUUGGGCUUCCUCAUUGGACCUCCACCCUUUUGUGAUUCUCCUGAGCUUUCUAAUUUUAUUCUGCCAGUUCUGAAUAUGGGAGGAGGCAUUAGUGGUCUCAUUCCAAAUUCUAGUAACUAGAUUGGAGAAGUCUUCUCUAAGGAGCCACCAUUUCUCCAUUUUAUAACUACUGCAUUUAGGGGUUUGGUUUAAACCAGAAUCCCAAAUUAAAGGAACAUGGUCACUCCCACACCUAGGCAAAGCCCUACAGGAUGCUAUGGGGAAGAUCAUGUCCAGCUCAGUAUUACAAAAAAGCCUAUCUAUUGUGGACAUGAUUAGGUCCACCUGGUUGUUGGCCCAAGUAAAUCUCCUGCUAGACAGCUUAAUCUCAAGCAAGCUCCAAAUUUCAACCCAGACAUUAAAAUUAUCACUCCAUCUAUGGUUAAUAUUGCCAUUACUUUUAUCCUUGACAUAUCUCAUUAAGUUAAAAUCUCCCCCUAUAAGGGUGGGGAGGGGGUCUUCUAAGAACAAGGUAUGAAGUUUAGAGAUAAAUUCUUCUUUCCCUUCUUCAUAAGGAGAACCAUAGACAGUAAUGACUCUAAAUGGAUUAUCAUUAGUUUUCAACUUCAUUACACAACUAACAGAAGAUUCUAAAUUGGACCAGGAGACAACAUCUAAGAUGUCCAGAUCCACUCCCAUCAGGAUGCCUCCAGCAGAGCCCUGGGCUGGUAAGUGAUGCCAGGAAAAGUUUCUAUUACCUACUAGAGAUUUUAAAAAGGAGUCCGAAAACUCCUCUUUUUUAGUUUCUUGAAAACCUACAAUGGAAGCAUGGGUUUUAGCCAUAGUUUCCAGGAUCAAAACUUUCCUACCAGGGGCAGUAAUCCCUCUCACAUUCCAGAACAGAGCAUUCAUGUUACAAGUCUAGUUCUGGGGUGCUUGCCCCUUCUAUUCUUACAAACCAAAUACCACAGUUCACUAUUGUUAGGUUCAACAUUAUCAUCACUAGGUAUUUUAUUUGGGGUGAUGAAAUCUGAAGCAGAACCUUCAGUUCUGUCAGGGAUCACACACCCCUCUCUACAUCGAUCAGUUACAUUGCUGGUAGGGUCAGCAUCUACAUUUUCUUCCAAAAUAACAUCUAUACCUACUUUAUUAGCAACAGAAAGGAAAGUGGGAUUAUUGAAAAGGGAGAAGGGUUUGUUCAUACCUUCUCUGUUGGUUCUUGCAUGUUGAGCACUUUUGAACUGUUGAGCCUUCUGAAGGAUGGUUCUGGUGUCUCCAGCAACGCUAGCACUCAUUCUGGCAGCUUGGACAUGACCCCAAUUUUUUGCAUUGUUCUGUUGUUGGUUGGUGGGAAGUCUUCUUCAUAUUUUUGGCUCUUCUCCUCCACAGCUUCUUCAGCAUUGCUUCCAGGCAGGUGCAGGGUUUCCAUUGACAUGUCAUCCUCUCCAUCUUCAGUGCUAAUUCCAUCAUCCUCCCAGCUUUCCAUUUCCCUCAGGAGGCUGAAACCAUCCCCCAGGUUCCCAUCUUCUAGCAAGCGACUAAGUGCACUACUUUUGAUGUUCUGUAGUGGGUCUGGCAGCUUGUUCUUUAGUAGAGUAGUUGGGGUGGGGGGCUACACCUCUUCCUGGCAGUAAUCACUGGAUCUCCUGUUCAUUCCACUACUAGAGCUGGUCCUAGAUCCAUUAUCUGAGCUUUUGGAACUUUUAUGAGAGGUUGUAUCAUCAUUGUUUUUGCUGUUGUGGUUGUUGUCAGUUCCUCCACUCUGCUGAUCACCUGUGGUUUGUCCUUGGACUUGUUCAUCCACAACAGCAUUUGGUGGCUCUACCUCAACUUUGAUUUUGUACAUCUUACCAUGGUUUCCAAAAAUUCUCUCCUUUGGCACCCUGGAGUGGUCUUUACAGGCUAUUUUCACUCUGAUAGUUUCAUAGAAGUUCUGGAAAUUGUGCUGCCAGUCCACAUCCAGCAGGACACCAAAUGUAGAUGUGAUCUGGUCCAGCAGUGACCAUUCACACCACUUGGGGUUCAUGCUUCUUAACUUGAUCCAGACCUUUUGUAACUCUUCUUCGGCAGUGAUCUCCCCUUUCCAUACUUCUACAUUCACUAUAGUGUUUUCUUUGGACAGUCCGAAGCAGGGGUAUCCAUACACCUGCUCCACAUCAAUCUCAGGAGGGAAUUUGACUAGAAAUGUCCACUCAUCUAGAGCAUUGAUGGGCCAGGGCCAAUUGAUUUUGUAGAUGCUGGCAAACUCUGUUGCCAGUUCCUGCUUUGAGACCUCCUCAGACUCAACAAAAACUAAACCAACAUUCUUCAGCCACCCAGUGUGCUGGGCAUUCACAUCAGGGACAUCCAGGUGGUAAAACCCAAGUCCCUAUGCAGCACUCCCUACAAACUUUGCUGUCGAGUGCGGCUUCUUCCUGACUGGGCAGUCCUCUACUUUGUGAUUAAUCAUUUUGCAGAUAAAGCAACAUUUAGGCUUCAUACACUUGUCUUUGUGAUGCCCAGGGUCACCACAAUUGUAACAGGUGACCCCAGCAUAGGACAUCAGACCUGGGUUGGCAGCUAGAGCCCUCUGAUUUGCAUCUUUGCUUUUCUUGUACUGAUUCUUGACUUGUGAUCUAAUCUUUUGUUGGUUACCACCAUGAGCUUCACCUUGGUUCCCUCCUUACCCGCUUGAUUGCUCCUGGGACGGUUGUGGGGGGGGGGGGGCGAACCACUGCUGCUGCGGGCCUCCCCAUUGCGGAGGGUAAGGUCCUGGGAACUGACCUGGGAAAGCCCAUGGCGGCGGCGGGCCCUGGUAACCGAAACCGAAGAACGGCUGCUGCGGCUGCAGCCCGCUCCCCUGGUUGAUCUGCUGGUGGUCGGGAGGCCAAUUCCCUGCUUGAUCCCCCCUACCACCUCUGUUCUUGGCUCUGCCCCGCCCGCGCCCUCCAUCCGCCAUGAGAUCUGGAUCGGGGGUGGUAGCCGCCACUGUAGCGAGGUUGGUUGGGAGAGGUGGAACCCUAGCUUCUCCUCCCUCCACCCCACCUUUUAUAGGCUCCUAGAGCUGACUGUACCACCCUUCCGCCUCGUCAUUGUGAUCACCUGGCAGUCUGGUGGGUGAGUUGGCGGUUGCGUCAUCCAUGUGGCCAUUUUGAAUCUUGUUGCUUCUCCUCAAGUCCACGAAUCUGAACCCCCCUGAUGCAUCCAUGACCAGAAGCGCCUCUGAUUUUUGCUUCGAUCCAAAAUCUGUUACUGGGACGCUGUCAGAUUCACGGCUAUUGUGAUGCUCUCCUGCAGUUGUAAUCUCCAGAAUGCUUGCCAAUGAAUCCGCCUCGCUCUCAGCGGUGAUUCCUGUGCCGCCAUUGCCCAAGAGAUCACCACCCUCGCCGGUGUCGAUCUGCCUGUCAGGAACAAGGACAGCUCGCGAUCCGUGGCGAAUGCUAGGAUCCUGGUAACCAGCUUCUGUACUAAUUCGCGACCUCUCCUUGGGAUCCUCAUUGAUGUUGUCUCCGCCAGCAUCACUUCUGAAAUCUCCUCUUCCUCGCUGAUCUGAGCUUGGGUAAACGCUGUCUCUCAUCGGUCGCUCAUGGCGAGUGGGUGUGGACGGGGGCAUGGGCUCACUCUGCUUGGACAACUCUUUCCAGGCUCCCUCCACCGAGAAGAUGCAUUCAGCCAUCGCACUGUGCACCCCAUGCCCGGCUCCACAGUCCUCAUGCGCCGCACAGUAGCUGUCCCCCGUGACCAAAACUGCCAGAGCUUUGAGAUUUAGGGGUUGUAGCUGCCGCAAUCCCGAUCCGAUACUGGAGACAGGUAGGGCCAUGGAUCCACCUCUUCCGAGUCCGAAGGGGGGCUGGAAGGCAGGCGCCCGAGGAUCCCUUCCCAUCGCGCCCUGCGGCCGGCGUCUCCGCACUUCGCUUCUGAUUUCGCCCAAACAAUGAACGCCUCUGGCUGCUCCCUCGGACUGGGCAUCUGGGCCUUCUCCGCCUUCGUGCCUUAGAAGUAGAUCCUCCGAGCGAGGUUGAGCAGCUCUCGAUCCACUUGGAUCUGGCAUGUUUGAGCGUACCUCACUCUGCAGAGCUUUUGAAAUGGAUCCAGACUCCUCUCCGCAGCGAGAUCCGCCUCCCUCCACUCCUUCACGCACUGCAUCCACGAGUCGACGUCGUCGCGGAUCCUGACCGCCUGCUCUGUCCACCUCUGCAUCCUUGUUGCCUGAAGCGUCGCCGGAGAGACCGAUCCAAUCAGGCGCAGCUUCUCUGGGAAAGCAAGGUAAACGAAUGGCAGGGGCAUCCGAAUCACCGUCGAGCCCUGCGGGACCCCGGGAGGGAGGGACCUGGGGGGCGACCCUGUGGAUCUGAUCUGGCGGGGCAUGGGGGCGUCGAGUGGUGGUUGCGGGGGCGGUGGGAGGCGAGCCAUCGACGGCGGCGGCGGUGGGGGUAGGUGGGGAAGGGGAAGGGGGAGCGCGGUCGCAGGAGUGGGCAUGCGGAGCGGUCGGUCUCCGUGUGGCUGCUCUCAAAUUAGCCUCUCUCAUCCAUCCAUGGGUGGUGUGGGGCUAGAGUUUCGCCCCCACCCAUCGAUGGGUCGGGUCGGGUCGGACCUGCAUGGCCGACCUCGAGGCCCAGGUGGACGAGGGCGCGCCGGUGCCGCUGCGGAUCUGGGUGUCCCCCUCACCUUGUCGCUGGAUAUGGGGCCUUCCCUUGCGAGAGAAGGUCCUUCCCUUCCCUCCCUUGGGAUAGAGAUAGAGAUAGAAGGUGAGGGGUUGGAGCGUCGGCGCUAGGGGAAGAAGAGGCCGCUGCCGGCGGUGGGAUUGGGGCGGCGGCGGGGUUGGGGUUGGGUUGGAGCAGAGGAGAGGAGAGCGGCAGUGGGAGGAGCCAGGAGGAGGAUUUUCUAAGGUGAUAUUAUCUUAAAUCUUGCAUGUAAUUUAGAGAUGGCAAAAAGUUAUGUCAACGAUGGGUUAUAUCUUAGACUUAGGCUGGUCACAAUGGGCAAGAACAUAAGAUAGUAACUUACACACUUUCCUAGACUAUGUUACCACCUCCAUAGUGGAUAGGAACAUCUAUGUAGUGUCAUGCAACAAUGCAUUUAUUAGGUUAUAGACUCAUUGUUUCUUGGAGUGUGUGAUGUUCCGGUAACUUAGCUAGUUACCACAAGCACCUCUUUCUUCAUUAAAUAUGUGCCACAUAAGCAAAGUUGUAUUGGAGUGUGUGAUGUUAUUCCUAAGUUCCUCCCCAUUGUGACCAGCCUUAUCUUCAAUAACUUGUCAUUCCUUAAAACAUGGUAAGACAAAUUGUGCUAAAAGAUCAUCUCUUGUCUUCUCUUAAAUAAGAGAAGACAAGCCUUUUUUAUGAGUUACCUCUGUCCCACCUCAUCAUAUGUCCUACGCAGCACUCCUGAGAUAACACUAUUGUACAUGCUCUAAGCGCUGGCACCUAACAAAAAGCACGCCGUUAAACCGUGGAACAGUCGCCGGCGCGGCCGCCGCGUCGAACGAGGCCAGCAACAUUCCGGGACCUAAAUCUUGAGCAGAUUCUGCAUGAAAAGCACAUAUUGCAAAGGUACAAAGCCCAGAAAUCCAGAUGCGAGAAGACAUGGAAGCACUCCUCACUCCUCGCUACUCAAACCGGAUCUGCGUUGUUUAUCCCGAACAAAUCAAGCUUACAAACAAGGGGAACCCCUAAAUCCCACGCACCCGGCUCGUCAAGAUCCCAUUCCACCCAAGAAAGAAAAAGAAGCGCCCUAGUCCUAGGGGCAUUUGGGGCGGCCGCUCUUGGGGGAUUUCAUGUCGCGGUAGCAGGGGCACUCGUCCUUGGGGGCCAACGGCCCCGACGGCACGCAGCCGGCGCACUUGCCGCAGCACAUCAUGCACAGCCCCAUGCACCGCCCGGCCACCUUCUGCGAGCACCGGUUCUUGCACUUGCCCUCGCACACGCUGUCCGGAACCGGAACGGCGCCAACAUCUCCAGCUCCAGCUGCAUCUGCAUCUGCAUCUGCAUGCCCACCCACCACAAGGCAAACAAAAUACGUACUUCUUGUCAUCAAUCAGGGAGUGCAUGCCGGAGUGGUACGAAGAGGAGGUCAAAGAGCGUCUGUGUGACUGUGUCCGGUGAAGUUACCUGCGGCCACGGUGAGGUCCUGGUACGAGGCGACGAGGAAGAGGGCCAGGAGAGCCAGGGUCACCGGGAGAGGCUUCAUCGCCUUGUCUUUCUUCUUCAACUCUGUUUCCGUCCAAGAGAUGUUUGGCAAAAGCAGCCACUUAUUUAGCUGAGCAGAGGUGAAGAUGCAACGCCGAGCGCGCGACUCGAGUGAACGGACGGACUCUGCGGAGUAGGUUGUGUGACCAAGUAUAACCAGCAAGGGGAAAGUUGUAGGACCACAGCUGGCUGCGGUUUCACUUUCAUCAAUGCACCCACCACCAAUCUCUGACCUUUUCUGUGUAAAGAGGGCGGCCAUGAAUGCCAGUUAACGCAUGCAUGGAUGCAUAUGCAGAGACUGUGGUUGCCGUGCCGAGGACAGACAGGUGAAUUUGGCGGUAUUUACGUACCCAGACAGAUGGCCACACACCACCAAUUAUCUUUGCUUUCUUCAACUCGUACACCCACUGUACGUAUAUGCCCGCCCGUAUUAAUCUGCUUUCUGGCAUUUCUGCAAAGCAACCUGCACCUACGGUCCAUUGCUCCAAAGGCCGGCUACGCUACGAGAUUCAACGAGUCAUUCACGACUCACGGCUUGUUUGUAGUACGUACACUCGUUUUACAAUUACGCUCUACUGCAAAUCUAGAAUCACAAGUAUUCCAGUUUCAAAUAAAAAACGCGGCUGCAAUCAGUUACGCUGUAUACGUACACUCAUUCUUGAUGAACAACGUGGUGCCUCUAUCUAUAGGCGUGUGAGUCGAGCGAGCGAUCCAUACAGCAAGACGAGCGGAGAGGCAAGAGUAGCCCGUGUGCCUACGUGGCCCUGUACACGAACACGCAAGGCAAAACUGAUACUACUAGCAAUUUUUUAUGACAAAGAAGACGAGAUAAACCAAGACAAGAUCAUAUGCAUAUAUAAACCCUUCGACAAGUUGCUCACGAAAUAGAGUCUCACAUAACAGCUCCAGCCCUCAUGCUUCUAGGACUGAGUAAAGUAAAACAUCUUCACGUACAUAACCGGGGAAAUCCAUGAUCAACACAAAGACACAAUAUAACACACGACGCCACACAUGCCCUUGUUAUUUAGGGUAUACUUAUAAGGCAUGCCAGUUUUAAUCCAAUUCGUGGCUCUCCAGAUCCCGAAAUGCUUCAUCUUCCUCUGGCACAUGCACCCGCCGCAUGCAUCCAUGCAUGCAUGCAGCUAACCUUCCACGGGACGCUGAUAAGA
rnacentral:lncRNA from 1 species